rnacentral:lncRNA from 1 species
GUAAACUAACUUCCAGUAACAAUUCCUAGCAACCCAACCAGCAUCCCCACAAAAUCACUACUACGCUAGGUGAAAAAGCCCGUGGCACUGGAACCUACAGCCUCCCUAAUAGUAAGGAAACGCAAGGUGGCCUGAUCCACAACUCCAACAGCUAAACCAAAUCUGAAUAAUUAACUGUUAUUAACCUUCAAACAAUCUCAAUUACACAGGUUUGAUAUUGAACGGUUACCUAUAAGACCAAAAGUGUAUGGAACAUCUGGGCCAACUUUAGGAGGAGUUACAAACCAAAACUUGCGUGGAGUGUGUCCAAUCCCGACCACAUAGUAAUACUUGGUGUUGAACUGCAAAUAAAUUAGAAAAGCUUCAAGCUCUGUAUCCAGAAGAAAUCCCAAAACAAAGAAAUGAUGAAUGAAUUGGGUGACAUCCCACCUCCAAAUUCUUGAUAGUGCAAUGAUGAAUGUAACCAGAAGUGUAAUUGUAGAAUUUAUAGGUAACCAUGAUUCCCUCAGCUCUGUUCUUGCGCUUGGAGUUUUCACUCCAGUAGAGCACUGUGUUUGAGCCUGGUUCAUCCACAGUGACCCAUGAGACAAUCACUCCUCUCCCCUCAUGAUCUCCUUGUGUUAUAUGAACCUUAACACGGACCACCCACAAGUCAAACAAGAACAACAAUAAAAAUUGAGAUCAAACCCACUAAAUCUGCUCCAAAAUAAAACCAAAAUUAUGAAGUAAUUUAAAAUAAAUAAAAUAUAAAACCCCUUUUUUUUAAAUGGGUUUUGAAAUUCUUAAACCCCACCUAAACGAAAAAGUAUAUGAAUCUAAAUCAAUUAACAAAUCCCAGUGAAAAGCAAAGCAAAUGGAGGAAGAAAAAGCCACACACCUGCUGAGGGGCAUUAUAACCAAGAGGCACACGAAAGACAUCACUGUCAAGAGGCAUAUCAAUGGUUUUUUCAACCUUCCUCACAAAACUACUCGUGAUUCCUCCAUGACACACCACUGCUGCAUUCAACACCGAACCCAAAACAAUAACCACAGUAGCAACUGCAGAAGAAAAAGAUAGCCCCAUCACCCCCAUCUUAUCCCACACCUCCACAAACCACUCAACCUACGCUCUCAACCCGAUCUUCUUCAUCCACCUCUCUCACCGAUCCCCAUUUAUAGCAUUUUCUGAGAAAAACCCGGGGAAUAUUCAGAAAUGUAAUGCGGAUAUGCAUCGUGAAGUCAACGGACUGAGGAAGCCUAGGGAAGCCACGUUCAACGAUGAGGGAAACCCAGAAAUUCCCUUUUGGAAAAUAAUAAUAAAAAAAUUCGGAGUUGACUCGGAGGUUGACAUUUAGUUUAAUUUUUGGUUUGAGCUGAAAAGCUGGAAUUUUUAACAGGGAUAAUUGGAAGACGAGUGGGAAUACCCAGUUCUACUUUUGGUUAAAAUACGAUGAAACUACACUUUCCACUGAGAUUCAUGAUCUCAGAGAUUUGAUUACGGUACCGUUAGAAUCAAUAUCCUGUGAUCUUUCCCUUCGUUAUACUAGUGAUGAACUAGACACUGAUCAAUAGAGAUUGUUACAACUAUUUUUCCGGGAAAAAUAUCGAUAAGUAUCGCCCAGCCAACCCUAAUGAAAAUUCCUUUGAUAAAAUAAAAACCUUGUUUGGAAGAGCUUUUCAAUCCAUAAAAGUUGUAAUUUAUAAAUUAGAAGUGUCUUUAUAAGAGUAGUUACAUAAAAUUUCGGAAAAAUUAUGUUUUGGAUUUAAUUGAACCCAAAAAUUAAAAUUUGGUCUACAUAAAUUCACUAUUUAAGUCUAAAAUGUAAAGGAAAUAUAAAAAUUGAGAAAAAUGAUAUGAAAUUUUUAUCUUUCCAAACCUUUAUUAACUAUAUAUAUAAAAAAAAAAUAGAAAAACAUUAAUUUAAAUUUUAUUUCUUUUGCAAACCUCAAUAAAAUUUAAUAUAAUUUAGUGAUUUAAAAAAAAUACACCAUUUUCCAAAAAAAUAAAAAUAAAUUAUUAUUAUUUAAAAAUCAAACAUCUUGGAAAAUAUAUAUUUUUAAAAUUGUGUAUAUAAAAAAUAACUAAAAAUAUGUCAAAAUUAUUUUUUUUAAAUGAUGUAUUUUUAAAGUAUAUUUUUUAAAAAAUUAGUUUUCUAAAAAUAAUAAAUUUUUAGAAUAAUUAUUUAAAAAAAUUUAAGAUAAAAAUGUUUCUCAAACAUUAUGGUAGAAAAUAUUUUUGAAUGGUAUAUUGGUCUCUUCAUAUUUUAUAUCCUCUUUAUGAAUUAUGUAAUUUUUAUUGAUCAAAUCUUAAUUUUUGAGCUCAAUUGAGUUCAAAAGACAAAUUGUCUCUAAAAUUUUUAUAUCUCACUGAAAAUAAAAAAAUUCAUUUUUUUUUUAAGUAGAAGAAAUGGAAUUUUAUUUAAUUAAUUUUUUUUAAAUAUCACAUUUAUCCAUAUAUUUUAUAUGAAAUUUAUCUUAAAAUAAUUUUUCGUCAAAUUAUUUGAGCGUAUUCUAUAUUUUAUAGUUAAAAUUUUAAAAAUAAAUAACAAAUAUAUUUAUUUAUGGUAAAACCAAACCGUUUGUAUGGAAUUUGGUUAAAAUGUGUUACUUUAUUUUAUUUUAUUCUUUAUCAAACAAAUUAUAUAUAAUUCAUUGAUAUAAUAUUAUUUUUUUUUAUAAAGAGAUGGGCGAAACAAAUAAAAUAGUGUGAAAGUUAGAAGAUACGAAAAGGCAAAGUGGUUUGGUCCAUCCCGUUCCACUUGCGGGGAGAUACGAAAAGUGGAAAGGUCCAAAACAAAAAAAUGAAGACUAGAUUUCAAUCAUGCAUGUCUUUUUCAAUCAUUCAACCUUUUUCCUUGAAAUGCCAACCACUUUCCAAGGAAUGAAAAGGGCAAAUUACAUUGUUUUACCAAAAUUAACUUUAUUUUUUAAAAUAAAAAUAAUUAUAAUUUCUAUCCCAUACUGGUUCCCUGAAUUAGGUCGGUUUGAUCAUUAAUAUCAAGUCUAAUUCAAAUUAAAAAAUCAACUCAUUGCAGUGGGUCGAUGUUUAAUAUAAGUCCAAUUUAAUUCAAUAUUAAUUUCGAGGUAUCCAAUCUAAGAGCAACUCAAUUUUAUUUUUUUAAACUUCGUUGAAUUUUGAUUAAUUAGAUUUGACUCAAAUUGUAUGAUUCAAAAUUCUCUUAUAAUAUUUUUUUAAAUAUAUUUAUAUCAAAAUUUAAAUAAUAAAUAAGUUAAUACUUUAGGAUAAUAAUAAAAAAAUUAUUUAACUUUCUAAUAUAUUAAAAAAAAAAAUAUAAUUAUAAUUUAAUAUUGAAAAAAAAAUGAAAUAAGUAUUAUUAUACAUGAUGAUAUAAAUUAUAAAUAAUAUUAAAAAAAAAUGCUAAAUUGGGUUCAUGUCCUCCCAACCUUUGUCCAAUCCCAAUCCUAAUUAAGUUUAGAUUGAAAAUUUAUCCCUAGCAACCCAACCAGCAUCCCCACAAAAUAACUACUACGCUAGGUGAAAAAGCCUGUGGCACGGGAACCUACAACCUCCCUAAUAGUAAGGAAACGCAAGGUGCCCUGAUCCACAACUCCAACAGCUAAAUCAAAUCUGAAUAAUUAACUGUUAUUAACCUUCAAACAAUCUCAAUUACACAGGUUUGAUGUUGAACGGUUACCUAUAAGACCAAAAGUGUAUGGAACAUCUGGGCCAACUUUAGGAGGAGUUACAAACCAAAACUUGCGUGGAGUGUGUCCAAUCCCAACCUCAUGGAUCUUUUGUAUUUGAAGAUUAAGACUACUUGCUUAAUUCAUGGAUCUUUUGUAUUUGAAUCCAUAAUUUGAUCUUGUUUCUUUAUUUUUACCUUCCAUUCGAGGAUUUAUUCGAUCUUUGUUUCAUAUUGAUCGGUGUUCGUUGUUUUUUCUUAUAAUUUCAACUUUUAAAAUUGGGCUAGAAAGACACAUUCUAAUUUAGAUUAUUUGAUUAAAAAUGAUGAAAUAAUCUUCUAUUUAUUAAUCUAACCCUUCACUUUUUUUUAACAUAAAAUAAUAUAUAUUUAAUAAAAAUAUUAUCAUUUCUUUAUUAUAAAAAUAACCCAUUUUUUUUGUUUAGUUACAAAUAAUUAAAAUGUUGAAGGUUACUCUUUAAAUUCAAUGAUGAGAAAGAUUAGAUUUAGAAAUUUGGAUCUUCCUUAGAAUCAAUUAAUUAUUCUUAUUUAUUAUUUAACACACAAAAGCCUAAUCCUAACCUAGAAAGAAAGAUGGUAGAUGUGUUGUAUAUCUUCUGCUAUUGUCAUGUCUUCAUCAUGAAUAUGGACGUAAUGUUGUGCGAUGAGGAUUAUAAAGGAGGAACAUCACCAAAACCGUCACUGUUGAAGCGAAUUCUCGAUUUUGUGGAGAGUGGAUUGCCAUUAGGGAUGGAUUUAUUAAAGUGUAGAAAUUUUCUCUACAUGUUCGAUGGUGUGUACCCAAGUGACCACCCUUAUUAUUACAUAUACUCCAGAGAAGUGUCACAAACUUACACUUUUCCUAAGCUCAUGAACGACACUUAGACAAGCCAAGAUACUUGAUGUUGCUAAGUCAACCUUACCCACUUAACUAACUAAAUGUAGACCCCUCAUUUUGCCCUUGACACAUAUAAGUUACUAUCCAAGUAAGUUAUCGUAAUUUAUCGACUUGUAGUCUUCAAUUCUUCAUCAGGAGCUUAUUGGAGGAUAAAUGAUAGAAUUUGAUGUGAUUACAUGAACUUAUAAUUUUGUAGUUUAGGAUUCUUUGAUUGUUUAAAGUUAUUAUCAACCGUAAAUUGAAGCGAAACUUAGAAUUCUUUAAAAUAUUAAAUCCAUGUCUUAAAAUAUGAGAUGAAAUAAGUUGUUCCUUUUAAGUAAUGAACACACCAAAAUAAUUAAUAUUUCUAGUAUAUCAUGAAUCAUAAAUAAAGUUUAUAUGUUAUUAAAAGUCACACUUCAAAACACAAAAUAAAUUAAUUUUCCAAAUAAAAAACAAAUAUGCAACGUGUAUGUUUUUAUAAAAUAUUUAUACUUAGCUUUCAUAUAAUUUAAAACAUGCCAAACACACCUUAAUCUAACCCAUGUAUCAACUCUCCAUAAGUUGUUAGCCUAGUUUCCCCAUUCUUCUCACCCAUUAACCAUUCUCCCUUACUACAACUCAUAUCCCAGUUGUCCAAAACAUGCUUUAACCCAUGCAACUAGCCAUGCCAAAGACACCUUGCACUAGUCGUCCAUUAUCCUCAUAUAUAAGUUUAGUUUUUUAUUCCUUUUUGAAUUCAUUACUAGUAUUUAUGAAUUAAUCUCAUUUCUAUGAGAGUGCUUUAAGACGCUAAACCAGGUACGCAAACCUUUUCUUCACCAUUUAUUUAAAUUAAUGCUUGUAAUUGCAUAUUGUCUAUUAGUGUUUGCUUGUUGUGUUGAGAUUGUAUGACAUUAAAUUUGACUUGUUAUGGAAUAUGUGAUUGCUUAGAAUGUAAUGUAAUGUAAUGUUAUUGCUUGUUAUUUAACUUUUGUAUUUUCUAGAAGCGCUAGGAAUGCAAAUCAGAUAGACCUUUCUUUAUUAAUUAAAUUGAUGAAUUGUGUUGAUGUGUUUAUUUAGUUCAUAGUAUCCAUGAAUUAAGUAGUUAGUCCUCACAAUUAUCUCAACUUACUUAGUAAAAACCUAGUUUUUAGGAGUUAAAGGGGUGAUACGAUUUUUCACUAUACCUUCCAGAUAAGUAACCUGACCCACAAACCCAAAUUGGUUUUCACAGACCUGUCUUUUCUUUCAGGAGUUACAUUUAAAGUUUUUCUUUCUUAUUUUGUUUUCUCUUUUAAAAAAUAAAACGAAAGUAAGUGACGAUCUAUGAUUUAAAAAAAAAUAGUUUUUCACAAACAAAAAACGAGUUUUUCCAUCGAGUAAAAACACAUGUGAAAAUGUGGGAUCACAUUAAGCUAAACAUGCACAUGACUUGGAAGCCUAGAAGGCACACGUAGGCAACACUUCAAGGAAAGGAAACUUUAUUGCUCAAAAAAUGCAUAUAAUGCUUUGGAAACUUACUUGCUUAGUGUCUUGGCCAAAUGAGACCCUCACUUUGUUAUAGGCACCUUAGGAACUCUUUGGAACCCACAAAGGUUCCCCACUCUCCUAAAAUUUUAUUCUCUAUACAAAGGAUAUUUACAAGUAUUUCCAAGAGACCUCUGGAACUCUCUAAAUAGCUUCAUAUUCUUUCCUUAUCUUCCAUCUUAAUGUAGAGAUGUGUGGAUAUCUCUAGAUUUCUCCACAAUGUUCCAACUUAGGCAUACUAGGCAUAGGGUCGACUUGGAAGGCAUUUAGCAGUUGCAUCAAGCCCACAUGUGCCUCAACCUCUUGUUUUCUUUCAUCGACCAUGACAUUGAGCGUCUUCUUUUUUGGACAAUCUCAUGCCUAAUGUGGACUAUCAUAUAAUUAACACUGGGUCUUGGGUAUAAACUCAUUUCUGCCUUACCUUUUCCUUCUCGAACGUUAGGUGUCUUACUUGAUCCCAUUCUAAAAGCACCAUGGUCUCUCGAAACCUUGUCUCCCCCACCAUUAGCGUAGCUAUCCUCGUCUUGACUCAUCUUGGAGGAGUUUUUCUUCUUAUAAUUCGUCAAAGAUUCCUCUAUUGCCAUGGCAGUGGCUAAGUCUUGAACACUUAGGCAUCUUAGUUCCUGCUUGGUCAACCCUUGCAGUUUAUCUAUAAAGUUAAAUAGUAACUUUUCCUCAGUCAUGUUUGGAAUAUCUAGCAUGAGCGAAGCAAACCCUUUAACAUAGUCGCGAAUUGAGCUCGUGUGUUUGAGACUCCUCAUGUUCUUCUUAAUUAGAUAAGCCACGUCCUUGGGGGUAGAACGACCUCUUGAUCUCUUUCUUAAAGUCCUCCCUUAUCUCUAUGGUGCAAAUGUCUUUCUCUAUAGCGGCAAACAUCCGGCGCCACCAUAGAGUAGUCGUGUCAAUAAGGUAGAGAGUUGUAGUCCUCACCUUAGCCGCCUCAUCCAUUGGCCUAUAGCCUCAAAAUACCGCUCCAUGUGCCACAAAAAGUUAUCUAACUCCUUAACAUUUCUCUUGCCACUGAACAUGUAUGGUUUUGGCACCUCCACCCUUGGUUUCUUAAAGACAAUUCAUCGGGUGAAAUAAACAAGAAAGACGUGGUCAUGUAAGUUCUUAACUAACUUUAAAUUUUAUAAAAUCAUUCUAUGUUCGACCAAUAACAAACUCGGAUAUGCGGCCUUACUAAUAGAAAGAGCGGAGGUACCUUUUUUUGUGUCAAGUCCAAGAGGAUUGACCAUGCUCGAAGCUCCCAAGCUAAUUCCCCUUCUAAAGAUUAUUAUUAUUCCUAAUCAAAGAUAAAGUUGGAUAAAAAAAUCAUGAAUUAUUUUCAUUUUCAUCAUUUAUUGGUUACAUUUUUGCUACAACAAUUUUAUUUUUAGUAUUUAUAAUAAUUUUCAAAUAAUAAGAUAACCAUGCCCACCUUUUUUUUUCAACAUAAUUAUUUGAUCAAAAGUCUUGAUAAAAAAAAUUUAUAAUAACAUAAAUAGUGUAGCCUCUUUUGAAAGUUGUGUAUUAAAAAUAUGACAUUUAUUAAUUUUUUUUUUUAAUAAAUGUCAUUUUCAACUUAUGACUUUUAUUUUAGUAGUGUUUUUCUAACACUUGCGACUUCCAUUUUCAAAACAUUUGAUACUUAUCAUAACUUUGAAUCAUUUUCUUUAUGUCUAUUUUUGUAAUUUUUUUAUGUUAAUUUCUUUUUACAUUAUUGAUCGAAAACCUUAAUAAAUGAUUCAAAUUGAUGGAAAAAUUGAGUUAAAAUGAAGUAGACCCAACAAUAAUUCUUCAAUAUGACUUAAUUUUGGAAGCGUGCUUGAAAGACAUGGCUUUCUUUUCACUUGCACACUCAACGUUGACUUUUAAAAAACAUGUAUGCUACAUAAUUUUAUGUGAGUAAAGCCUAAUUAGCUACCAAUCUAAAUUAAAAUUAAUAAGUUAAUUGUUUCUUGAUAUGUAUUUGUUGAUAUUUAUAGUAAAUUUGAUUAUCUAAAUUGCAAAUUAGAUUAUUGCAAUACAAACUAUAACUCAACCAACACUUAUUAUAAAUAAGAAUUUAAUCAUUUCAUCUAAAAACCAAUUGAUUUUUAAUAAUGUCAAGCUCACUCUCUUUUAAUUAUUCGAGUCACACCAAAUUCCAAGCUAACAGUCUUGUACAUACUUCCUAAGCUAGUACCAAAUCUGAAGCACAUGUAAUCUUGGGUUUACUAUUUAAACAAUGUUAUAUCUUGAGCUAAUGUAAUAUUAGGUAAAUUUCUUGAGUCAACAUCAAAUCCUGAACGAGGACAAUCUUGAAUUAUACUUCUCGAAUCAUUAUUAUUAUUUAUUUCAAUACCAUUUAUUGUACAUAAUGAUUUCUUUUAUGUCAAUUAGUUUUCAUUGAAACCAAGCUAAUUACAGACGGGAAACAAUUGAAAUUCACAAAAAAAUUGGAAGUAAUUCCUUUGUGUUGUUAGUAGAAUUUGAAUCCUUUAUUUAAGAUUUAAUAUAUGAAAUUAAGAAUGGUCCACAAACUUCUAACUACUUUUUACAACAAAUUUUAAACUUAGAUAAGUAAAUUUUUUUUGAGAAUAUAUUUUGCUUAUUUUAAAAUAAAUUUAAAAUAUUUUGAAUAAUAAUUUAAAAUAUAAAGAUAUUUUAAAUAAUUUAUAUUUCACAUAAAUAUAUAAUACCUUUAUAUUAAACAAAUUUUAAAAAAGAAUUGUUUUUCGUAUUUAAGUUUUAAAUUGUUUUUGGAGUAAGAAUGAACUGAUUUUUGUGUUUGGUAGAGGUUGUAGUGUGCUCCCAGUUCUAAUUUACUUAAAAUGCAAUUCAAUCUGUAUCCAUGAUCCGAUAUAUUUGAUUGGUUAAGAUUCAAAUGUUUGAGGAUCUAAUGGUGUGGAUUGUGCGGAUGCAAGGAAGUACGGUGGGAGGAGGAGGAGUACCACAUAGAGACCGUAGAAUAUGGGGUUACGGGACUGACCUCCAAAGCAAAUGUCCCUAUCAUCCAUCCCUCAAUAUUUUUGGCACUGUAAAAGCUGACUUCGACUCUCUCCUGCAUCGCGUGGCAAACACACGUUGUUUUUAGAAAACAAAUCAUGGGUGGGGUUUAUUUUGAAGUUUUUGAUUAAAUAAAAAUAAUAAUUAUGUGAGUUAUAACUUUAUUGAUGUAUUUCUUAUAUAAUUUUUUUUUUGUUUUUUCCAUAAAAAAAAAAUGGAGAAAAAGUUAUCCGAACUCGCAUUCAUAAUUAUAAUACAAAAACAAAAGUUCGUAACUUUUUCUUUUACUUUAAAAAAAAAAAAAUUGAGAAAAGAGAGUAUCCAUGUUCUUAUGUAAGAGUUAUACAUCUUAUAUACAAAUUACUGAUAUUUUCUUUAUUUUUAAAAACAAAAAAUAUAAAAUAUAUUUACAUAUGUUUAAUUAUUAAAAUAAAGAUAAAAUAAUUCAUUGAAGAGGGAUGAAUAGGGUGUUGAUCAUUUUAAAAAAAAUUUAUAAAAUUUAAUUGAUAUGAAAGAUGGUGUUUAAAAUCAAUAUUUUUUAUUUUUAAAAACAAAAAAUAUAAAAUAUAUUUACAUAUGCUUAAUUAUUAAAAUAAAGAUAAAAUAAUUCAUUGAAGAGGGAUGAAUAGGGUGUUGAUCAUUUUAAAAAAAUUUUAUAAAAUUUAAUUGAUAUGAAAGAUGGUGUUUAAAAUCAAUGAUUGUUUAGUGUAUUUGUAUUUGUAUUUGGGAGUCCAUAGAAGAAUUAUCAUCUCGCGAGGAGAAGGCUAUGGAAUGGAGCUUUGACGUGCGAUAUGAAGAUGUUUACUUUGGAUGGUGUAGAGAAGUUGCAUGGGAUAGAUCCGAUGAUAAUUUGUGGGCUAUGAUCGAUGGGCCUGAGGACCGCUACUCCGUAGCGGUUGACUCUCUCAAAACUCGACCGCAUCUUCCAGGCUGUAUUCGAGAGGAUGAUGCAACUAGUGAGCAGAGGGACCAUAUGUGUGGAUUGAUGCCGUAUCUAAGCAACAAAGGUUUCUUGGACUUUUCUCAAUAGUACAGUAAUUUAAAAAAGUUAUUCUUAAAUUACUGUAGUGGAAGAAGUUAUUACAAAUAUAGAGUAGUUUUUGCCACAUAGGAGAGAGGAGAGAGGGUGAAGGAAUAAAUUUUUUUUAAAAAGCCAACUCGUCUCUUCAAGGAAACUCGUCUCUUCAAGAGACGAGUUCCCAUUAAAAAAAUAUAUAUAUAUUUUUAAAAAAUUCACAAAUUAAAAAAAAAAAUUUGGAACUAAAGGGAACUCGUCUGAAGAGAUGAGUUCCCAUAGGAAAAAAAAUAUAUUAUUUAUUUAAAAAAAAAUCCCAAAAAAAAAACACAAUUCCAAAGGGAACUCGUCUCUUCAAGAGACGAGUUCCUUUAGGAAAAAAAAUAUUUUUUUUUUAAAUAUAUUUUUUAUUUUUAAAAAUCCUAAAUUAAAAAAAAAAAAAAAAAAAACAAUUCCAAAGGGAACUCGUCUCUUCAAGAGACGAGUUCCCAUGUAAAAAAAAAUAAAAAAAAUUCAGAGCUCCCUUUAGGAAAAAAAUAAUUUUUUAAAAAAAUAUAUUUUUUAUUUUAAAAAAUCCCAAUUUGGAAAAAAAAAAAAAAAAANNNNNNNNNNNNNNNNNNNNNNNNNNNNNNNNNNNNNNNNNNNNNNNNNNNNNNNNNNNNNNNNNNNNNNNNNNNNNNNNNNNNNNNNNNNNNNNNNNNNAUGUAAAAAAAAAUAAAAAAAAUUCAAAGGUCCCGUUAGGGAAAAAAAAAAUUUUUAAAAAAAAAUAUUUUUUUUUUUAAAAAAUCCCAAAUUUGGAAAAAAAAAAAAAAAAAAAAACCCAAUUCCCAAGGGAACUCGUUUUUUGAAGGGGGGAGUUCCCAUGUAAAAAAAAAUAUUUUUUUUUAAAAUAUAUAUAUAUAAAAAAAAAAACAAUUCCUUAAAAUUCCUAAAGGAACUCGUCUCUUCAAGAGACGAGUUCCCAAGUUCCAUGUAAAAAAAAUUUACUCAAGGGAACUCGUCUCUUCAAGAUACGAGUUCCCUUAGGAAAAAAAUAUUUUUUUAAAAAAAUAUAUUUUUUAUUUUAAAAAAUCCCAAAUUAAAAAAAAAAAAAAAAAAAAAAAAAAAAACACAAUUCCAAAGGGAACUCGUCUCUUGAAGAGACGAGUUCCCAUGUAAAAAAAAUAUAUAUAUUUUUUAAAUAUAUAUAUUAAAAAAAAAAAAAACAAUUCCUCAAAAUUCCUAAAGGGAACUCGUCUCUUGAAGAGACGAGUUCCCAUGUAAUAGAUGAGUCCCUUUAGGAAAAAAAAUAUUUUUUUAAAAAAAUAUAUUUUUUAUUUUAAAAAAUCCCAAAUUAAAAAAAAAAAAAAAAACAAUUCCAAAGGGAACUCGUCUCUUGAAGAGACGAGUUCCCAUGUAAAAAAAAAAAAAAAAAAAAUUUAAAUAUAUAUAUUAAAAAAAAAAAAAAACAAUUCCUCAAAGGGAACUCGUCUCUUUAAGAUGAAUUCCCAUGUAAAAACAAUUUUUUUUUAAAAAAAAAAUCAUCAAGGGAAGUCGUCUAUUCAAUAGACGAGUUCCUAUGGGAAAAAAAUAAGAGACAAGAAAAAAAAAUAUUUUUUUAAAAAAAAUAUUUUUUUUUUAAAAAAAAAAUUCCCAAAUAAAAGAAAAAAAAAAACAAUUCCUCAAGUCAACUUUUCUCUUCAUAUAUAUAUAUAUUUUAAAAUUCCCAAAUAAAAAAAAAGAAAAUAAAGGAAUUUUAAAAUAUAUAUAUAUAUAUAUUUUAAAAAAUUCCCAAAUUAAAAAAAAAAAAAAACAAAAGAAUUUCCUCAAGGGAAAAAAAAUAUAUUUUUUUUAAAAAAAUUUCCUGAAGGGAACUCGUCUCUUGAAAAAAAUUAGUUUUUUUAAAAAAAAUCUUCAAGGCAAUUCGUAGAGACGAGUUCCCGUGAAAAAAAAAAAAAAAAACUCUCAAAUUAAAAAUAUAUAUUUUCAAUGUCAUUAAAGCGGCUUUUUCUGCUUAAAAAUAAAAUUAUUUCAAAUAAAAAUUAGAUUUUUAGGACAUGAAAUUUUUCAAGGAAAAACAAAUAGAAUAAAUAUGAAAUAAAAGAUAAAAAACAAUUGGAAAGAUUUUUAGGUUAUUCAAAUUAUGUUUCUGAUUACUUUAAAGAUUUCAGAAUGAACCCUUCUUAUAUUACUUAGAAAAAUACACUUGCACACCUGCAUGGACUGAGCAUCAAAAGUCACAUCAAAAGUCAUGAAUAGUAGUGAAUAGUAGUAUUUGUCUACUUUCUACUGCUUUGCAACCAACGUGGAGGAUGGGAAAGUAACAAGUCUUUGACAAAGAAAAUAAAUUCUCCCUCUGCAAACUUCAGUACCCAGCUGUCUCUACACGUGAUGGAUUUGAAACUUUUUCAAGAUUGCAGAUUCAAUAGAAUUUCAAGUCCGAAUCCUCGCCUAUAAAUAGAGCCUCAACUUUCUUCGUAAACAGAGUCGGUAAGAGAGCUUCAAGAGCAGAAAAAGAGCAAAAAAAAUUUAGAGAGUGCAAAGUUUUGAGAGUUCAAAAAAUUUUCUCUUGUAAUUUUCUUUUUUCAAUCUGAGUCAUCCCUCCCUUUGCUGUAAACCAGCCCGUAGCCCGUAAUCAUCAACUCUCUAUAAGGUAUAUUUUCAAUAAACAAAUUUUUCAUAUUCAAAUAUUUGUGUUAUUGUGUUUAAAUUUUUGCAAUAAAUUAUACAGUAUUAUAAAUUAAAUAUUUCUGUUGUUUUUAUAGUUGAAGAUUAUUAGACAGAAUUAAUUAUUACGUGCAUGAAUUAAUUAUUGUUUACAUGAAUUAAUUUAAAUAAAUUUAGUAAUGGUGGUUAGUGUGAAAUUAUUAAAAAAUUAAUAUUAUUUUUAAAUUAUUGAAAUAAUUCUUGUAAGAUAUUGAUAGCUAAAAAUUAAAAAUAAAUAAAAGUAGAAAUAAAACUAAAUUAUUAUUUGAUUUAUUUAAAUGGAUAUUUUAAUGUAUAAUAUAUAUAUAUAUAUAUAUAUAUAUAUAUAUAUAUCAAAGAAAUUUUCUAUAAUAUAACAUAGUAACAGUGAGUAUUAAAUGUAUAUAUAAUAUAUAUAUUUAAAUAUUUAAAUAUUACAUAAAUUUAAAUAUCUAUUUUAACAAAGAAAAGAAAUAUAUAAUUGUAAAAUAUUAGAAUAUAUAAUAAAAUAAAAUAAAUAAAUUUAUUAAUGGUUAUUAGUGUUAAAUUAUUUUUUUUCAUAUAAUAUUAUUUAAAAAAUAUUAAAUUAAAAGAAAUUUAAGUAGAACAUUAUCGAAAUUAUGAAUUUAUCUUCUAUAUUUUAUGAAAAAUAAUAUUAGUGUUAAAUUAUUGAAAUAAUUCUUCUCAGAUAUUGAGACCAAAAUAUAAAAAAUAAAUAAAACUAAAAUAUUAUUUGAUUUAUUUAAAUGGAUAUUUUAAUGUAUAAUAUAUAUAUAUAUAUAUAUAUAUAUAUAUAUAAGUAAUUUUUUAUAAUAUAAAAUAGUAACAGUGAGUAUGAAAGGUAUAUAAUAUAUAUUUAAAUGUUAAAAUAUUAUAUACGUUUAAAUAUCCAUUUUUAAAAGAGAAAAGAAAUAUAUAAUUGUAAAAUGUUAGAAUAUUAAAAUAUUAAAAAAUAUUUGAAUGAUGCAGGAAAUACAUUUUCAUGGAUCCUGGACCAGUAGAUAGUUCAGUUCUAUAUAACCAGGAAAUACACCGAUCUUCACUUAUAUGGGAAGGAAAUGAUCCCGGAGAACUCCAUUGUCGACGUCGUGAAGCCAGUUUUUUUCGUAAUAGUGUUUUGGAUGCACGUAUCAUUCCAUAUUUGCAACAAUCUGGAUUCUACGGUGUUGCUCGAUUAGGUUUUAUUUCAUUGGAUUGGCAUCUUAUUAUAGCAUUCAUAGAGAGAUGGCGUCCUGAGACCCACACUUUCCAUGUACCUUAGGGAGAGUGUACCAUCACACUUCAAGAUGUUAGCAUUAUUUUAGGCUUACCGAUUGAUGGUGUUGCAGUUACCGGUACCACGUGCUUAGAUUGGAGAGAGGUGUGUGCCACACUAUUAGGAGUGGUGCCUGGAGAUAGAGAUAUAUCUGGACAAAGACUUCGUUUGAUGUGGUUGACAGAACAUUUUCCUUCAUUGCCACCUGAUGCUGAUGUGGAGUCCGUGAGAUGCUAUGCUAGGGCAUUCAUCUUACAGUUGAUUGGAGGUUUUCUUUUUGCGGAUAAAUCAAACAAUAGAGUACACUUAAUGUUUUUACCACUACUUCAGGAUUUUGGAGUUAUUGGUACUUACAGUUGGGGUAGUGCUUGCCUAGCUUGGCUAUAUUGAGAGAUGUGUCGAGCAUCCCGUAUUGAUGUACAUGAUGUAUCAGGUCCUCUGAUUUUGUUGCAGUUAUGGAUAUGGGAUAGAUUUCCUUUUAUGUCACCUAUGCGCUUACAUCCGACACCACAUGAUGAAGUACAACCACAACCACCCUUAGGCAUGCGGUAUGUAUUCAACCAUAGUUAUAGCAUAUGUAAACACAUAUAUGCAUAAAUAAACAAUUACUAAAACCUUUAAUAUAUAUUCUUUUUGUAGUUGGAGAGAUGAAUUCCGUACUACUUCGACGCCUAUGCAUGUGCUAUCCCAGUAUAGAUAUCUACUUGAUCGACUUAUGCCAGAGCAGGUGAUAAAUUCAUUAUUUUGAAUAAAUUUUUUUAAAUGAUUUAUAAUGAAAUUAUUAUUAAAUAAUGUGAGUUAUAUUUCAAAUUUAAUUGCAGAUUAUAUGGGAGCCAUAUACUGAUGAUGUCAUCUCUGCACUCCCAGAUUACUGUACUAUUGCCUCUGACUUGUGGUUGACUAUUUCACCCCUUAUCUGUUUCCACAUAGUGGAGUGGCAUAGACCUGAUCGUGUUUUGCGGCAAUUUGGGCUAGUACAACAUAUUCCCGAGCAAUGCGAUACAGAAUUGGGCUUACAUAGAUAUGAUUUGAGGGGUCGACAUGAUUUUGAUUGGAUGAGUAUUCAUCACCACUAUAUUCAAAGGUGGGAGGCUAGGUACGAUCAUCUUGCUAGAGCUGAGGCAGCAUAUACUUCGUACGGGUAUAACCACCCAUAUAUGGUGUGGUAUCGUUCGAUCACUCGCCUUUUUUUUACUCCACAUGGAUCUUCGUGGGAGAUAGUGGUAAUUACAAUGUCUUUUUAUUUAUUACUAUAUUUUCUUCUUAUUACAAAAACAUCUAACUUUUUAUUCUUAAUUCUUACAGAACCGCAGUUUGCAACAAAUACAUUUAUGGACUUCUCCAGCUACACCGAAUAUCGGUCAUCGUGAUGCAAUUCAUCAAUUAUGUGCAACCACUUUAGAGGCUAUACACGAGGCUGAUCGGUUAGUUAUUCCCCCUAAUGUUGUUGAUACGGAGAGACAAUCAUCGGAUGAGGAGGUUAGGAUAAGAGAUGGUGGGAUGCGGACUAGGGGUGGUAGGGUGCGGACUAGAGGUGGUGGAGUACAUCCUACAGGUGGAGGUGUUUGCACUAGAGGCGGAGGUGUACGAACACGUGGAGGCCAUAUUUCUGAUGAUCCACACUUCCAUAGCGAUGAUGUAGCUAUACAUUUUCCACCAUCAGCUCUACAACAUUCUUCCUUCAAUUUUUCUACACCACUUGACCAGUCACUGCCUUAUUCAUCAGUUCCAUUCAUUGCUGAGGGGGUGAUACAGGAAGAUGUUGGGACAUCAUUCAUGCAGGAGAUAUUGCAUUCUUAUAUUGAUGGGUCUUCUUUUCAUAUACCUAUGUCGUCUAGUAUCGAUGUAUCAUUUACUCCACCUACAGCACCACUCAUUGCUUUGUCACCACAGUCAUUAGGACAUCCAUUUAGAGAUGAUGUGGCGACACAAAUGCAAUACUUUUCAUCACCACUUGUUGAACAACAGCUAGAGGCACAAGUGCAAGAUGAAGGACGUGGACGAGGAAGAGGUCGAGGACGAGGACGGGGACGAAGACGAGGAAAUGAAGCAACAUUAGAUGUUCCCUCAGAUCAAUCCAAGUUGGAAAGAUGUCACCAACGGCCACAACGAAGAAGGAAACCUCCUUCAUGUGGCACACAUUGAUGACUUUUAUAUCUUGUAUGGUACAUUUUUUUUUUAUUCUUCGUUUAUUUGUAUUAAUGAUGAAUACUAACUUUUAUUGGUUCCUAGUUCAUUCUUCGUUUUUUUUUUUUUUUAAUUUGGGACUUUUUAAAAAAAAUUAUUUUUUUUUAAUGGGAAAUCGUCUCUUUUGGAAAUUUUUUUUUUAAUAAUUUCGGAUUUUUUUUUUAAAUAUAUUAAUUUUUUUUAAUGGGAACUCGUCUCUUGAAGAGACGAGUUACUUGAGGAUUUUUUUUUUUUUGGAUUUUUUUUAAAAAAAAUUUAAUUUUUUUUUUAUUUUUCAUGGGAACUCGUCUCUUGAAGGAAAUUUUUUUUUUUUAAUUUGAGAUUUUUUAAUUUAAGGAUUUUAAAAAAUAUAUUUUUUUUCCUAAAGGGAACUUGUCUCUUGAAGAGACGAGUUCCCUUUAGGAAUUUUUUUUUUAAAAUAUAUAUAUUUUUAAAAAAAAAAUAUUUUUUUUUACAUGGGAACUCGUCUCUUCAAGAGACGAGUUCCCUUUAGGAAUUUUGAGGAAUUGGUUUUUUUUAUUUUUUUUAAAUAUAUAUUUUUUUACAUGGGAACUCGUCUCUUCAAGAGACGAGUUCCCUUUGGAAUUGUUUUUUUUUUUUUUUUUAAAUUUGGGAUUUUUUUUAAAAAAUAUUUUUUUUCCUGAAGGGAACUCGUCUCUUGAAUUUUUUUUUUUAUAUAUAUAUAUAUUUUUUUUAAAAAAAUAUUUUUUUUACAUGGGAACUCGUCUCUUGAAGAGACGAGUUCCCUUUAGGAAUUUUGAGGAAUUGUUUUUUUUUUUUUUUAAUAUAUAUUUAAAAAAAUAUUUUUUUUUUACAUGGGAACUCGUCUCUUCAAGAAGAGACGAGUUCCCUUUGGAAUUGUGUUUUUUUUUUAUUUUUAAUUUGGGAUUUUUUAAAAUAAAAAAUAUAUUUUUUGAACUUGUCUCUUGAAUUUUUUAAAAAAAAAUAAAUAUUUUAAAAAAAAAUAUUUUUUUUACAGGGGAACCCCUCCCUGGGAGAGACAAUUUCCCCUUAAAAAUUUUGAGGAAGGGUUUUUUUUUUUUUUUUUCCCUCAAAAAAAGUUAAAAAAUAAAUAUAUUUUUUUUACCGGGGAACUGGCCUCUCCAAAAAAGAAGUCCCCCCUUGAAAUGGAGUUUUUUUUUUUUUUAAAUUCGGGAUUUUUCUAAAAAAAAAAAUAUUUUUUUUCAAAAANNNNNNNNNNNNNNNNNNNNNNNNNNNNNNNNNNNNNNNNNNNNNNNNNNNNNNNNNNNNNNNNNNNNNNNNNNNNNNNNNNNNNNNNNNNNNNNNNNNNUUUUUUUUUUUUUUUUAAAAUUGGGAAUUUUUUUUAAAAAAAAUUUUUUUCCAAAAGGGGAAACAUUUUUUGAAAUUUUUUUUUUUAAAAAAAAAUAAAUUUUUUUAAAAAAAAUUUUUUUUUUCAAGGGGAAUUGUUUUUUGAAAAGGAGGGGUUCCCUUUGGGAUUUUGGGGGAAUGGUUUUUUUUUUUUUUUAAAUAUUUUUAAAAAAAAUUUUUUUUUUUACAAGGGGAAUUGUUUUUUUAAGAAGGGACGGGUUUCCUUUGGAAAUGUGUUUUUUUUUUUUUUUUAAUUUGGGAUUUUUUUAAAUAAAAAAUAUAUUUUUUGAACUUGUUUUAUGAAUUUUUUAUAUAUAUAUAUAUAUUUUAAAAAAAAAUAUUUUUUUUACCUGGGAACUUGUUUUUUGAAGAGACGAGUUCCCCUUUGGAAUUUUGGGGAAAUGUUUUUUUUUUUUUUUUUUCUUUAAUAUAUAUUUAAAAAUAUAUAUAUUUUUUUUACAUGGGAACUUGUCUCUUCAAGAGACGAGUUCCCUUUGGAAUUGUGUUUUUUUUUUUUUUUAAUUUGGGAUUUUUUAAAAUAAAAAAUAUAUUUUUUUAAAAAAAUAUUUUUUUUGAACUCGUCUCUUGAAAUUUUUUUUUAUAUAUAUAUAUUUUUUAAAAAAAAAUAUUUUUUUUUACAUGGGAACUCGUCUCUUGAAGAGACGAGUUCCCUUUAGGAAUUUUGAGGAAUUGUUUUUUUUUUUUUUUUUUUUUAAUAUAUAUUUAAAAAAAUAUUUUUUUUUUACAUGGGAACUCGUCUCUUCAAGAGACGAGUUCCCUUUGGAAUUGUUUUUUUUUUUUUUUUUUUUUAAUUCGGGAUUUUUUAAAAAAAAAAAUAUAUAUUUUAAAAAAAAUAUUUUUUUUCCUAAAGGGAACCCGUCUUUUGAAAUUUUAAAAAUAAAAAAAUUUUUUUUUUUUUAAAUUUUUUUUUUUUUAACAGGGGAACCCUCCCCUUCAAAAAACGAGUUCCUUUAGGAAUUUUGAGGAAUUGUUUUUUUUUUNNNNNNNNNNNNNNNNNNNNNNNNNNNNNNNNNNNNNNNNNNNNNNNNNNNNNNNNNNNNNNNNNNNNNNNNNNNNNNNNNNNNNNNNNNNNNNNNNNNNACGGGUUCCCCUUAGCAAUGUUUUUUUUUUUUUUUUAAUUUGGGCUCCCUCAAAAUAAAAAAUAUAUUUUUUUUAAAAAAUAUUUUUUUUCCUAAAGGGAACUUGUCUCUUGAAAUUUUUUUUUUAUAUAUAUAUAUUUUUAAAAAAAAUAUAUAUUUUUUUACAUGGGAACUCGUCUCUUGAAGAGACGAGUUCCCUUUAGGAAUUUUGAGGAAUUGUGUUUUUUUUUUUUAAUAUAUAUUUAAAAUUUUUUUUUUUUUUUUACAUGGGAACUCGUCUCUUCAAGAGACGAGUUCCCUUUGGAAUUGUUUUUUUUUUUUUUUAUUAUUUAAUUUGGGAUUUUUUAAAAUAAAAAAUAUAUUUUUAAAAAAAAAUAUUUUUUUUCCUAAAGGGAACUCGUCUCUUCAAGAGACGAGUUCUUUCCAGAGACAUCUUAAAAAAAACUUUAAUUUAAAUAAUUGAAUUUUCAACUAGAACUUACAAUAUCUUAAAAAAAAACUUUAAUUUAAAUAAUUAAAUUUUCAACUAGAACUUACAAUAUCAUUGAGCGGUUGUGUUAGAAGACUCCCCUCUGUUAGGACAUUUUCGCCGAUUGUGACCCUCUUGUUUACAAAGCCCACAUCGCAAUUUAACACUUGGUUCUCUCCAAUCCAUUUCAUUCCUAAACCUUGAAGAUCUUGGUCUUCCUUUAUCACGUACUAGAGUUGGAUUAGGAUGAACAAUUGGAAAAUUAGGCUCUGGCCAAUAUGCUUGAUGUGGAAUUGGAUUGAAUUGAGGUGUAUAGCAACAAGCAUAUACAUCCAUCCUAUAAUGUUUGUCAACAAAUUGCCAACUAUCAAUCCUUGCACGUGCACAUACAGCCAACACAUGUGAACAUGGUAUACCAAAUGAUUGCCAUUUAUUACAAGUACAUGUUCUUUCUUUCAACUUCACAAUUUGUAUAUUGUUUCCUUUAUCCAUAUGAAACCCAUGGGGAGCAGUUGUAACUUCAAAUAUCUCAUUUGAACGGUGAAAAAUAUUGGCAGUGUGUCCACUAGCCCUUGAUUGAUAUUUUGUUAUUUUGUUAAUGACAUAGGAAGUAUACAAAUCUCCAUUUGCCAUUUGAGUUUGUAUCUCUGUUCGACGAGUCUCGAAAUAUGAAACACAACGAUAGAAAGUUAAUCGAACAAGAGCAGUGAUAGGCAACAUUCUAGCCCCUUUGAGCACUCCAUUUAUGCAUUCAGCAAUAUUUGUAGUCAUCCACCCAUACCGAUGUCCUCCAUCAUGUGCCAAAGUCCAUUUCUUUGUGUCCAACCUGUUAAACCAUUCUAAGCAUUUCUCAUCUAAUUGUUUUAACUCAGUCAUACAUGCCUCAUACUUUCGUGGUUGAUGUUGAGACCCUGCUCUAUACACUAAGUCUUUUAACAUCUUAUUUCUAUAUUUAUCAUUGAAAUUGCUUGCCACAUGCCUAAGACAAUAUCGAUGGUGUGCAUAAGGCGGGCUCCAACCAACACUAGGAUCCCUAAUGGCGGCUUGUAUUCCUGCAUGACGAUCUGAAAUAAGACAUAUGCCUUCUCUUUGUGUGACUUGAGUCCUUAAUAUAUAAAGAAACCAAGACCAACUAUCUGAUGAUUCCUCUUCAACUAUUGCAAAUGCUAGAGGGAAGAUAUGACCAUUAGCAUCGAUUGAUGUUGCAAUCAAAAGUUUCCCUAUGUAUUUUCCAUAUAAAAAAGUACCAUCUAUUUGUAUUAUUGGUCUACAAUGCUUAAAUCCUUCAACACAUGCCCCAAAAGCCCAGAACACACGCAUAAAACGUACAUUUCCAUUGCAACCUGCUAGUAAUGAUGUCUUCCAAACAACCUUAGUCCCAGGGUUAGUAAGUUUAAUAAUAUUCAUCCACCUAGGUAAAGUUUGGUAAGAUUCAUCCCAAUCACCAAAUAUCCUUAUCAUUGCUUUCCUCUUUGCUUCCCAAAUCCUCUUGUAAUGAACAUUAUAACCAAAUUUAUCUUUCACUAUUUGAUGUAACGCAGCAAUUGAAAUUGUGUGAUCACUUUGGACUACAUUUUGAACUUCUCGUGCAAUGAAGGUUGAGUCUAAUUGUGAGUGGUCUUGUGAUAGUUUAGGGUAAACACAAGUGUGAGGACCUAUGUACUUUGUUAUCUCAAACAAACCAUGACAUUUACGACGACAUGCACGAAACCUCCAAUUACAACCCUCAGACCAUUUUUUACACUUUACAACCCAAAAAUCUGGCUCAGAUUCAAUAACAAUCAAAUGUUGAUUCCUACAUAUAGAAUAACGUUUAACAGCAUAUUGUAAGUCUACCUUACUUUCAAACCGCAAACCCUUAAACAAUUCAUCUGAUUCAUUCCAUAAGCCAGUGCGUGCUAUUAAAUCCUUGUCAGUGAUGGAGUUAAUUACAUCCCAAUUCAAUUCUCUAAAUAUUGGGGAAGGGACAUCAUGUUCACCACCACCUAGCAAUGAUGCAUCAUUUUCUGUAUUUUCAUUAUCCUCCAUGUCCAUAAUAUCCUCAUUACCAUCAUCUUCAUCAAAUAACUCUACAUUGUCAUCAUCAAUUCCAGGUAAAAUAUCAACAUAAUUUCCAACUGUCAUUACAAUUGACUCAGUAACCCCUGCCAUAUCUACCCUAACUGUAGGUUCCAUAUCAUUAUCAUAACUUUGCAUAUACUUAGGGGAAGAUGUGUUAUUUUCUACCAUAUGUUGACUUGGACCUAGGCUUUCAAUAUGCAAUGGGGUAGUAAAGCUACUAGGCACAGGGUGAUAAUCAAUGGAAGAAGUUUGACAAUACAUUUCAAUAGUAUUUGGAGGAGGAGAUUGUGCGACAACGGUGAACAUUAUCCUUACAUCACCAUCAUCUCGAAUAGGCAAAGGGACAUAAUUAACAGUACCAUUUCCAUUUGGAAAGGGAACUGGAUAUCAAAACACCAUAUUUAACUUGGUAUAAGUACGAUUAAUAUUCAGAGCAUGACACAAUUUUGUUUCUAACUCAUCAAAUGUUAUCAUACUAUUGAUUAAAACACCUUUAUCAGGAGGACGAUUAUAACUUACCCCAAAUUCACAAUCAAUAAUUUCACUCCUGGUAUAGCACAACACCGUGGUGUAACCGUCCAUUAUAAAACCUAUUCAAAAGAUCAACAAAAAAUAUCAUCAUCAAUAAACUUUAUGAUAAUAACAAUAUAUAUUUUGCAAAUCUAUUUUACUAAUAUUACGUCCAUUACAAUAUAUUUCUUUUCUUUUUAAAAAGGGAUAUUUAAAUGUAUAUAAUAUAACAUUUUAAAUGUCCAUUUACAUAUUUAAGAUAAGAUCAACUCUCGGAUAAUGUUCUACUUAUAUUUCUUAUAUUUUUAUAUUUUUUUAAUUAAUAUUAUAUGCAAAAAAAUAAUUUAAUACUAACAACCAUUACUAAAUUUAUUUAUUUUCUUUUAUUAUAUAUUCUAACAUUUUACAAUUAUCUAUUUCUUUUCUUUUUUAAAAUAGAUAUGAAAUGUAUAUAAUAUUUGAAUAUUUAAAUAUAUAUAAUUGACUAUUUUAUAUUAUACACAAUUAUUUUAUACAUAUAUAUUAUAUUAAAAUAUCCAAUUAAAUAAAUCAAAUAAUAUUUUAAAUUUAAAUAUACUUUAAUUUAUUUUUAAUUUUUAGCUCUCAAUUUCUUACAAGAAUUUUUUCAAUAAUUUAAAACUAAUGUUAAUUUUUAUAAACUAUAGAAUACAAACUCAAAAUUUCGAAUAAUGUUAUACUUAUAUUUCUUAUAUUUUAAUAUAUAUACAUAUAUAUAAUGUAUGCAAAAAAAUAAUUUCAAAAUAAUUUCACACUAAUAAUAUUAUAUAUUAUAACAUUUUACAAUUAUAUAUUUCUUUUCUUUGUUAAAAUGGACAUUUAAAUGUAUAUAAUAUUUUAAUAUUUAAAUAUAUAUUAUAUACCUUUAAUACUCACUGUUACUAUGUUAUAUUAUAGAAAAUUACUCCUAUAUAUAUUAUACAUUAAAUAGCCAUUUAAAUAAAUCAAAUAAUAUUUUAGUUUUAUUUCUACUUUUAUUUAUUUUUAUUUUUUAGCUCUCAAUAUCUUACAAGAAUUAUUUCAAUAAUUUAAGACUAAUAUUAAUUUUUUUAUAAUAUAGAAGAUAAAUUCAUAAUUUCAGAUAAUGUUAUACUUAAAUUUCUUAUAUUUUAAUAUUUUUUAAAUAAUAUUAAAUGCAAAAAAAUAAUUUAACACUAACCACCAUUACUAAAUUUAUUUAUUUAUUUUAUUUUAUUAUAUAUUCUAACAUUGUACAAUUAUUAUAUGUUUCUUAUCUUUUCUUUUUUAAAAUGGAUAUUUAAAUGUAUUACACAAUAAAUAUGAAAUAAAGGAAAAAAUAUUACCUAUCAAUAAAAACAAACUGAUAUAAUAAUAAAAAGGCAAAAAUAUUACCUACCAAUAAAAACUGAUAUAAUAAUAAAAACUAUAUAUCAUAAAAUAAAAUAAAGCAAAAAUAUUACCUUAGAAGAUAUGCUCAAAUUCUACCAAAGGUGAAAAACUGAGAAGUGAAAAUUUCAGUUUGAAGUGGGAAGAGUGGGAAAAUGUAAGUGAAGAAGUUUAAAGUGGGAAGAAUGGGAAAAUGUAAGUGAAGACGUUUGAAGGUGAAAAUGAGAAUGAAGAAGGUAAUUUAUAGUGUUUGAGAAGUUGUAAAAAGGUACCAUGAGUGGUUAAAAUUUGAGUUUAAAAUGGAAUUGGUAGAGUGUAACGGUAUGAUACCAACGUUCUUCUUCGAAAUAGCUAGCCCGAAAUAGCAAACGGGCUAGCUAUGAUAGCAAACGGGCUAGCUAUGAUAGCAAACGGGUUAGCUAUGAUAGCAAAUGGCUUACCUAUUAUAGCAAACAGUGUUGUUCAAAAUAGCAAACGGUAUUGUUCAUAGCAAACGACUUAGCUAUGAAGAGACGAUUUCCUUUUUGGAUUUUUUUUUUUAUAAUUUGGGAUUUUUUUUAAUGAAGAGACGAUUUCCAUUUUGAAAUAUUUUUUUUUUUAUAAUUUGGGAUUUUAAAAAACAAAUUUAAAAAUAUUAAUUUUUUUUUAAAGAGACUAUUUUCCCUUUGAAUUUUUUUUUUUUAAUAUUUGGGAUUUUUUAAUCUUGAAGAGACGAGUUCCUUUUUAGGAAUUUUGAGGAAUUGUUUUUUUUUUUUUUUUAAUAUAUAUAUUUUAAAAAAUAUAUAUAUUUUUUUACAUGGGAACUCGUCUCUUGAAGAGACGAGUUCCCUUUGGAAUUGUGUUUUUUUUUUUUUUUUAAUUUGGGAUUUUUUAAAAUAAAAAAUAUAUUUUUUAAAAUAAAAAAUAUAUUUUUUAAAAAAUAUUUUUUUUUCCUAAAGGGAACUCGUCUCUUGAAAUUUUUUUUUUAAAUAUAUAUAUAUUUUUUUUAACAUGGUAACUCGUCUCUUAGGAAUUUUGAGGAAUUGUUUUUUUUUUUAUUUUUUAUAAUAUAUAUAUUUUAAAAAAAAUAUUUUUUUUUUACAUGGGAACUCGUCUCUUGAAGAGACGAGUUCCCUUUGGAAUUGUGUGUUUUGUUUUUUUUUUUUUUUUUUUUUUUUUUUUUUUUUUAAAAUUUGGGAUUUUUUAAAAAAAAAAAUAUUUUUUUAAAAAAAAAUUUUUUUUUCCCAAGGAACUCGUCUUUUGAAAAAACGAGUUCCUUUAGGAUUUUUUUUUUUUGGGAUUUUUUUUAAAAAAAAAAAAUUUUUUUAAAAAAAAAAUAUUUUUUUUUUCCCAUGGGAACCCCUUUUUUCAAAAAAGUUCCCUUUUUUUCCAAAUUUUUUUUUUUUUUUUUAAUUUGGGAAUUUUUUAAAAAAAUAUUUAUUUUUUUUAAUUGGGAACCCCUUCUUUCAAAAAAAGAGUUCCUUUUUUUAAAAAAUUUUACCGUUUAACCCUUUUUCCUUUNNNNNNNNNNNNNNNNNNNNNNNNNNNNNNNNNNNNNNNNNNNNNNNNNNNNNNNNNNNNNNNNNNNNNNNNNNNNNNNNNNNNNNNNNNNNNNNNNNNNUUAAAUUACUGUAGUGGAAGAAGUUAUUCCAAAUAUAGAGUAGUUUUUGCCACAUAGGAGAGAGGAGAGAGGGUGAAGGAAUAAAUUUUUUUUAAAAAGCCAACUCGUCUCUUCAAGGAAACUCGUCUCUUCAAGUGUGAAUUUUUUAAAAAUAUAUAUAUAUUUUUUAAUUGGGAACUCGUCUCUUCAAGAGACGAGUUCGCUUUUUUAAAAAAUUUUACCCGUUCACCCUCUCUCCUCUCUCCUCUCUCUCACCCUCUCUCCCACCCUCUCUCCUCUCUCCUCUCUCCUCUCUCCUCUCUCCUAUGUGGCAAAAACUACCCUAUAUUUGUAAUAACUUCUUCCACUACAGUAAUUUAAGAAUAACUUUUUUAAAUUACUGCACUAUUGAGAAAAGUCCAAGGUUUCCUUCUCUAUGUCUUUGUUCUUCAAGUAGAAAAACUUGAAUCAGGGAAGGGACCCCUAUCACAAGCACCAUUAUCAGUUAGAUAUUUGAGGCGUCAAGUUUAUGACUUCAGCUUUCUUGAAUGCAGAAAUGAAGAAUUCACUGCGGAUGUCUUCUCCAAAGCUGUCGUGUGAGUGUUUUUAUUUUUUUAUUUUUUUUCAACCAGUUGAAAUCAAUUCACUGAACACUAACACUAAGCUGCCAUGAACAGUUGUACUAAAACUAAGUAUCUCUUGUAGCUAAACUGCUACCAUUUUUCAUUUAUGUUUCUUUAAAUUCAUUUAACUUAUUUUGUUACUUUAUAUAAAGAUUAAAAGUGCAUUUAACAGUGGUUAUGAAAAGUGUUUAGCAUUUUUAAUACUUAAAAAAUAAAAAAUUUUAAGUAUUAAAAAUGUUAAAAACACUUUUUAGAAUCACGGUCAAAUACACUCUAAAUUUAAUUACACUUUAUUUUCUUUCAUAUAUAUUUAUAAUGAAACAAAUAUGAGAAAAAAAAAACAUUUUUCUUGACAGUUUUUUUCUUUCUUUGGUAUUUUUCCCAAAUCAAACAUAAGAAUAUAUUUUUUUAUAACUUUUAUUCGGUUGGUUUAUGAAAUAUUUUACCUGAAUGAUUGAAUCUGAAAUAUUCUACAGGCCAGAGUAGAUUUUGGAAGGCUAAUGGAGUAACCCUUUAGAUUUGGCUGGGUUGAUCUGCUGCAAAUGCAUUUUGAAAAUCCAAGGCAAUAACCUUCACUAAAUGGUUGCAAAAGGAGGAAAAAACUUAGGGCAAAAGUAGAGCUACUCAAUUGAGAUUAUGAGAUAUGGCUGUCAAUUUGCUUUACAGAAAAAUAAAAGAAAUUUACAUUGUUUUCACUACAAAAGAAAACACGCUUCUCAUAAUCCAAAAUUGCUGGUAUUGGUUUUUUUUGGUCAAUGGUGUUAGAGAUUUGGUAUAUCCUUGAGGCUGGUACUGUUGAGAUUUUCCUUCUUCCUCAUGAGCAACUCAAGCUACGAGUUAGAUUGAUGAAGGCUUCUUCUCUGCAUGGUACCUUGCAUUGUUAUAUAACUAUGGUCGAGCAUGUAGCAUUUUUAGUCUCUCAAAAACAAUUCAUUAGUUGAAAUAAACAAGAAAGACAGGGUCAUGUAACUUCUUUCAUUUUCUCAUGAAGUGUAACCAAGGAUUCAAUUUUUUUUUAUAAAAUAUCGUCGAUAUAUCAAAUAUUGGUGGUGUCGUGAGAAUUUUGGCCAAAAUAUCUUAAAACAUCUUGGAGGUGGAGCGAUGCAUCGGCCAUUUUUUGAGAAAAAUAGGGAAUAUUUCGAGAAAAAUGGGAGAUUUUGUUGAAAGUUUUUUUAAAAAAAUAUUUAAGUUUUUUUUAAUUAUUCAUUUUUAAUUUAUUUAUUUUUAUCUUAAAUCUAUAUUAUCAUUUUAUUUUUUAUAUUUAUCUCAUUAAUGUUAUUUUUAAAAAUUACUAUCACUUCAUUAUUAAUUUUUUAUCCGUUUAAUUUUAUUUAAUUUUAAAAUAUUAAAAAGAUCAUUUCACUCAAAAAUUGCUAUAAUAUAAAAAAAAUAAUGGAGUCCUAAUAUUUAUAAAUUAAAAUUGAUUUGAUAAGACAAAUUAUUAAUAAUUUUAAUUAUUUAAAUAAAUUAAUGUUAAUAGAAAAAUUAUCACCAUAUAUUUGUAAUAAAUUUUUAGAAAUUAAAUCGUAAAUAAAAUAUUUUAUGUAAAUCAAUUUAAUUUUAUUUCAAAUGUAAUAAAACAUGUUUUAAUAAAAGUAUUUUUAAAAUUUUAAAGUAAAUGAAUAUAAAUAUAUUAAAGGAAUUUAAGCUAAUUUUUUUAUAAAAUUUUAUCUUUAAUUGUAUUUAUAUCAAUUAUACUUAUAAAAUAACUUUAAUAUAUAUAUAUAUAUAUAUAUAUAUAUAUAUAUAUUCUUAUUUUAUCAUUUUUUUUAGAGUUUUUUCAAGCAUUCUCAUCAAUUUUGAAUCAUUUUCCUCAUCAAUAUUUUUGUCAAAAUAUCCAUUAAUAUUUCUCCAAUAUUUAUGAUAUAUCCAAUAAAAUCCAAGUAUUGGAUUCCUUCUUUAUAAAUGAAAAAAUAUGCCUUAAUCCAUGUAUGCAUUCUUACAACAAAAAAGAUAUAUGUACCUUUUAACCUAGUCUUCUUUUUCCCUUAUUUUUUCCCUUUUUGUGUAGCUAAUCGAAUUCUUUGUUUUUCUUGGAUUGAAAAAGCUCUCAAGUCUCAACCUCGGUGACGGAUGCUUACAAUCCCUUUAUAAAGGGCAAAACUUUAAGUGGGAAGUUGCUUACUCAGCAAAACAAUUAAUCUUGGUUUUACAACAGAAAAUUGUUUUAAUAAUUUUUUUUUAUACUAAGCCUGUGCCUGGCCCUAGCCUAAACUUAAUCCAAAGCUUUAAAUUUCAUAUUUCUUUUUUCCUAAACAUUCUAAUCUUUCUAAGAAAUCUUUCUAUGAGUAGUUGUUGAUUAAAGGCAUAUUCGUGGUACUCCAUCUAUACGCAUUGUACCUCAUUUACCCUUCCAAAAUGCUUUACGGUUUGACUUAUCAUUGUUACAACACACCUACAAUCAUUUUAUAGAGGAGUUACAAUAUGCGCCAUAUCCGUAAGCUUUCUUCCAUAGUUGCCUACGGAAGUCUUCACAACUAUAGAAAAACUUUUGUAUAUGAGUCAUCAUAAACAACAUUUCCACUUUUUCUCAUCGAGUUCCCUCACUUGGAUUAUAUAGGGGAGUAGGAAGCUUUUGGAAACUCUUGGAAUCAUCUAUACUAGUAAGAGACUUAGAGAUGUCCACACAUGUUACCUACUGUUCUCUUAACUUCUAAGUUGUGUGUCUAACUAAAUCUAACUAACAAAAUGCAAGGGGAAGGCUAACUUAGCAACAUCAAACAUGUUUAUCUGUAAGUGUCACAUGUGAGCUUAAGAAAAACUUAAGUUCGUGACACAUGGCUCAUGCACCAAGCCUCAUGCCUAAUAAGCAUCUACUUUUAGAUGAAUGGAAGAGGCUUAUAAAACUCUUAACAUCUCCUUUCAUUUUUUAUGUAGGAUCAAUAUAGUGUGUGAUUUAAAGAAAAUAUCGGCUUUAAAGUUGCAAGAGGAGGAAAGUUCAUAGUAAAAUAGUUGCACUACUCUAUUACUCCUUUGUUUGUAUUAAAAGUUAAUUAGGAUGUGUAUGUUAAUUAGGAUCAACAUUUGUCUUCUUAAUUUAUUGUAAUCUUCAUCAAGUUUUUGAUACAGAAUAAAUUGAGUUUUGUCUCAUAAUCAGCAAAUUGAAUCUGUGCAUGUCUUCUACUAAACAAUCAUUUUUUAUCUCAUUUCCACCACUCACUGAAUCUGCAUCAGAAUCAUAUUCUCCAUCAUCUACCACACAUACAUUUUCUCUCUCAUAUUCUACACAUAUUGAAUCUGUGUCAUCAUCAUGUCCAAAAUCUUAUUCUGUCUCAAUUUCGCAUCAUAUCAUAUUCUGAAGUAGUGUCAUUUCCACCAACUGAUAUUAACCAAUACCAUAAAAUGAAUAUUUAUGAUUAAUACGGUAGAAAACCCUAGUUAAUUUCUUGCCCGGUAUAUUUCUGUGGAUCCCUUUUUUGGUUCUCUUUCUCUCCGGCUUUUACAUGGUUCUCGGUAAGAUUGAGAACCAAAUAUUCAUAAGUAACCUAGUCAUUUUUAGUUAGUAAGCAAUCUUGAUGUAAAUGAGUUUUCAUUUCCAUCCUCUUUAUUAGGGUUCCAAACAUUAUCCCAAAAAAAAAAAAAAUAUCUUAAAUCAUUUUCCUUAUUCUCCUUAUUGCACAUUUUGUCUUAUAAUACUUGACUGUCUAGUUUUAAAGGGCUUGGAAGAUGAUUAGUUUCCAAAUGCUUGCAGAUUCCAGGAACUUAAAGUUACAAUUAAGUGAAACAAGCACUUGAAAGAGGAGAAUGCCUUUCAGAUUCAGAGAACAUAAGCGGGCAUGCAGAAGAAGUGGAAGGGAAGAUGCAGACCAAUAGAGGAAAGAAGGAAAAACAAGCUAAAUAUUCCUGCAGUUGAGCUGCUUAUUGAAACAGAGUAGAACAAAUUAAGGUUGAUAACAUCAUGACUGGGUGCUUGUGGAAUCGUCUUCUGGAUGCCAGAACCUGUUGAAAAACCAUAAGGAAUCAGCUUUCACGGCAUAUCCAUCUUGGUUGCGGUGCCAACUAUACUGAGCAUGGGUUCGGUUCUUGGUGUCAAAAAUGGCAUGUCCAAAACUGGCUUCACGAUAAGCAGAGUACUUCGGCUGUGGCUCUGUCAUGCUGAAUUGUAGAACAUAAUUUAGCUCCAGUAUCGUUUCAAAUAGGAGACAUUUACAACAUAGAAGACAGAAUUAUACAAGAUAUGUGCUAAUCUUACUUGGUUGCCAGGCCUUCGAGAUUUCCCCCAUCUCCAAUGGUGAUGUAUACUGGUGCAGACUGGUCAUUUACAGGAGUGCAAAUGCCAUUUAUGACGUUAUAAGCAAUGUUGGACACACGUUCCUGUGAUAAAUUAAGUUACUAGCAUUAGCUGUCGGGUUGGAAGAGAAGGCAAAAAACAGAGAAUUCUUGAAAUAAUGCUCUUUUUGGUAGUUUUCUUCAGUGAAAUAAUAUUUCAUUUUUUAUAAUUCCAGGGUCAGAAAAACAAUUAUAAACAUUCUAACAAUUUUUGGGCAUUCUUUGAUUUCAUUCAGAAAACAAUUAAAGGCCAAAUAAAAAGCAACGCUUAAGAUCUUAUACCUACAAAAAGGGGUUUCAGGAAAACAGCAAAAACUCCUACUUUGGAGCCUUACAGUGCAGAGGAUAAAGUGAACUUACAGAUCGUUCGUAGGCAUGAACAUGACCAGCAAACACAACAUCAACUUUGUACUGCACAAACCAUGGCUCGUACAUUACUCUCAUGGUUUCCCCUUCCAUAUAAUGAUAGUUGUAACUGUUAUACCAUGGGGAAUGCAUAAGAACAAUUAGCCAUGGUGUCUCACUCCUGUUAACUUUUGGUAGCUCCUUUUCAAGCCACAUAAACUGAGGAGUAUAUUUUCCUGAAAAGCGUAAGACAUAAAAACAUUCAUUUUAAUUACCAAUAUAAGCAUUUGGAGGACAAGCUGAAAUGAACUCGUUCCUUCCUGCAUAUAAUAGUGUUUGAAUUGACUUAGAAUGUAAGCAUUAUCAAAUAAAAGUUCAAGUAACAGGAUAGAGUUGGAUCAUGACUAAAAUGACAAAACAUGAUCCUACAGAGGACGGAAACUAUUCAUGUGAAAUGCAGCACAAGUUCAGAAUUUUACUAAUUCAAUAUAUCAUAGAAAAAUCUAGAGGAUGAUGGAACCAUCCCAGCUGCCAUCUAAAUCCAUCGGAUAUUCCCCCCUACUCCAGGGUUUACUUUCUUUUCACAGUAAGGAAAAGCACAAUUAUCCAAAUCCCCAUCCUCUGAUAUGGAUUACAAAUGCUUCAUACUUUUUAUAUUUGUAUGUGGUAAUUCAUAACUGACAUUCUGCUGCAUAUGGGCACAUAUGUUUAGUGCACCACAGUAUGAGUGUGCUUACCAUAUGCUGAGUAUGAUGAUAAGACAAUGAUAUAUGCUGAAGCCCUCUUGAUAGAGUACCAGAAGGGAGCGGUACUAUCUGAUGCUCUGUAGGGGACAUGAUAUCGAUGACUAUAAGGCUUAAAGGGUAUAAACUCACCCUGCAAAAAACACCAGACUUCCAUUAUAAUUUCACUUUGUAUGGUAAUAUUGGGAGGUCUAGAAAUGGGUUAAGAUCUUUUUCUUUCUCACACUCUUCCUAUGGAAAUCUGAUCAUUCUUAUGAUUAGGAGUUGAUAUAUUGAUCUCACCAGCCAAAAGAAGUAUCAAUAUAGAAUUAUACCUGGAAAAUAUAUCAGAGAAAAGAAUUUUAUCAAAUUUGAAAACUAAGAUUACUGUUCUAUAAGGAAAAUAAAGCCACCGGUUACUGUACUGUAGUAGUAUCUCCUAGCUCCUCAUAAGGGAAGGUCCAGAAUUCUACCUCAUGCGAGGGCCUAGCCUAUGGGCCAAAGCCCCCUUGUACGGCAAAUAAUAGAAGGAAAAAUGGGUUAUCAUGUGCCAAAAACAAACAAGGAAAACGAUAUGAUUGUAGAACCAUAGCAGAAAAGCUAUAGUGCCUUUGGAAGAAUAAAAGGAUUGGUCAAAAGUUGUAAUUGAAAAAUUUUCAGCUAAGCAGAUUGAUGGAACAAAUUACCAUGUCAAAACAUUAUAUCAAUAAAAAAUAAACAUAAAGAUACUACUUUCCAUCAUUGAAAAUAUGUUAGAAAUGCUUACAAUUUCAGGAGCAAAAUCAAUCUCAUGGUUUCCUGCAGUCCAUAUCCAAGGUUGAUAAGCAGUACUUCUCUCAGUGAACCUUCCCCAUGUAUCCCACCUAACGUUAUCAUAGUUCGGGUACCUAUCAGCAUAUGAAAGGUCUCCAACAAACAACACGGUUUUUCCCUUCGCAGGGUUCAAUUCAUAGUGCGUAAGUGUCAUAUUUGAAUCAUAACUCUGCCCAAGAUCCCCUGCAAGCAAUGCUCAGUAGAGUGAAUCGACCCAAAGGAAUCAAAAACCAACGCUAAACAAGCAUUUAUGAAAACAUAUGGACACACUAAAUGCAUAAUGCAUGUGAGCAUCUUCCAGAAUACAUGUGUGCCUUAAUGAUGCACUGGUAAGUUAAACAAAAAAUUUCAUCAAAUCUAAGAUCUAUUUGGAAUCAACUUAUCUAGAUAACUUUUCAGUAAACUAACUUCCAGUAACAAUUCCUAGCAACCCAACCAGCAUCCCCACAAAAUCACUACUACGCUAGGUGAAAAAGCCCGUGGCACUGGAACCUACAGCCUCCCUAAUAGUAAGGAAACGCAAGGUGCCUGAUCCACAACUCCAACAGCUAAACCAAAUCUGAAUAAUUAACUGUUAUUAACCUUCAAACAAUCUCAAUUACACAGGUUUGACAUUGAACGGUUACCUAUAAGACCAAAAGUGUAUGGAACAUCUGGGCCAACUUUAGGAGGAGUUACAAACCAAAACUUGCGUGGAGUGUGUCCAAUCCCGACCACAUAGUAAUACUUGGUGUUGAACUGCAAAUAAAUUAGAAAAGCUUCAAGCUCUGUAUCCAGAAGAAAUCCCAAAACAAAGAAAUGAUGAAUGAAUUGGGUGACAUCCCACCUCCAAAUUCUUGAUAGUGCAAUGAUGAAUGUAACCAGACGUGUAAUUGUAGAAUUUAUAGGUAACCAUGAUUCCCUCAGCUCUGUUCUUGCGCUUGGACUUUUCACUCCAGUAGAGCACUGUGUUUGAGCCUGGUUCAUCCACAGUGACCCAUGAGACAAUCACUCCUCUCCCCUCAUGAUCUCCUUGUGUUAUAUGAACCUUAACACGGACCACCCACAAGUCAAACAAGAACAACAAUAAAAAUUGAGAUCAAACCCACUAAAUCUGCUCCAAAAUAAAACCAAAAUUAUGAAGUAAUUUAAAAUAAAUAAAAAAUAAAACCCCUUUUUUUUUAAAUGGGUUUUGAAAUUCUUAAACCCCACCUAAACGAAAAAGCAUAUGAAUCUAAAUCAAUUAACAAAUCCCAGUGAAAAGCAAAGCAAAUGGAGGAAGAAAAAGCCACACACCUGCUGAGGGGCAUUAUAACCAAGAGGCACACGAAAGACAUCACUGUCAAGAGGCAUAUCAAUGGUUUUUUCAACCUUCCUCACAAAACUACUUGUGAUUCCUCCAUGACACACCACUGCCGCAUUCAACACCAAACCCAAAACAAUAACCACAGUUGCAACUACAGAAGGAGAAGAUAGCCCCAUCACCCCCAUCUUAUCCCACACCUCCACAAACCACUCAACCUACGCUCUCAACCCGAUCUUCUUCAUCCACCUCUCUCACCCAUCCCCAUUUAUAGCAUUUUCUGAGAAAAACCCGGGGAAUGUUCAGAAAUGUAAUGCGGAUAUGCAUCGUGAAGUCAACGGACUGAGGAAGCCUAGGGAAGCCACGUUCAACGAUGAGGAAAACCGAGAAAUUCCCUUUUGGAAAAAAAUAAUAAAAAAAUUCGGAGUUGACUCGGAGGUUGCCAUUUAGUUUAAUUUUUGGUUUGAGAUGAAAAGCUGGAAUUUUUAACAGGGAUAAUUGGAAGAAGAGUGGGAAUACCCAGUUCUAUUUUUGGUUAAAAUACGAUGAAACUACACUUUCCACUGAGAUUCAUGAUCUCAGAAAUUUGAUUACGGUACCGUAAGAAUCAAUAUCCUGUGUUCUUUCCCUUCGUUAUACUAGUGAUGAACUAGAGAUUGAUCAAGAUAUAGAGAUUGUUACAACUAUAUUUCCGGGAAAAAUAUCUAGAGAUUGAAUAAGUAUCGUCCUGCCAACCCUAAUGAAAAGUCCUUUGAUAAGAUAAAAACCUUGUUUGGAAGAGCUUUUAAAUCCAUAAAAGUUGUAUUAUAUAGAUUAGAAGUGUCUUUAUAAGAGUAGUUACAUAAAAUUUUCACAUCCCACUGAAGAUAAGAGAAUUCCUUUUUUAGUAGAAAAAAUGGAAUUUUAUUUAAUUAAUUUUUUUUAAAUAUCACAAUUAUCCAUAUAUUUGAUAUGAAUCAUUUGAGCAUAUUCUAUAAGUUAUAGUUAAAAUUUUAAAAAUAAAUAAAUAAAUAUAUUUAUUUAUGCUAAAACCAAACAAUAUGUGUUGUCACCGCCAAAUUUAAGUGACUAAAAAAUUCACACAUGUUUAAAUGAUUAAACUUUGACAUUAAAAAACAAAUACAACCUAAUAUCAAUGAGAUAUUAACCAAGUGGAUGUUGGAAGAAAGAUCCAAAUUCAAAUAUAUGCCCCCCUACCAACCUACCUUUUGGGUUGUCUAGCUAGCCUAUGAUUCAAAGGCUGAGUUAGGUUUGAGAAUGACUAAUUGGAACAUGCAUUUACGAGGGACAGGAACAUCAGCCCACUUGUUUUGACCACAAGACUCAAAGCAUCAAUCAAGGAUCCUAGAUGUGAACUUGGAAUCAAACUAUUGGGAAUAGAAGAUGGUCUUUUUUAGUGUCCACAUGUUUUGCCUACCUUCAUGUUGAUUUGAACCUUUUGCAGCCUUGUGAUCAAUCCACUUCCAUCUUUGACAUAAAAUGUAAUUCCUUUGUUGCUUUUGAUCUCCAUACUUAUCUUAAAAAAUAAAGCCUGGCGACUUCAACGAUUCGAUGUUUACAUUGACGUGUAUAAAGUUUGAAUAAAUUAUACAAUAAUAUUAUACCAAUUUAAAAAUAUUAGAAUUAAUAGAGAUGGAAAGAAAGCACAAAAAUUAUACAUGACUUAUGGGAUUUCUUUGGCAAUAGAAAUCUAAAAUUUUCAAAACUUAUUUUCAUGUCUAGAAAUUAAAAUAAAGCACGAUGUAGAGAGAAAAUCCUCAUUAGAAGAGGGGGAAAAAAAAAAGAGGGAGAAAAAGGUGUGGAUGAGAGGGAAAGGGGGUGGAGGGACGUGAGAGUGCAGAUGGAAUGAGCUAUAAACAGUUCCGUACGUUUCACAUGGGCAGAUAAGGAGAGGAGUGGUGUCACGCCCCAAGUCCCACUCCAAGGGCGUGACGGUCAUUUCACACCUCAAACUCGAAGGCUUAAAAUAUAAUCUGACCCAAACAAUCAUAUUGUAACUGGAUGUUACCAAUUACCAAAUAUUUGUUCAGAGUAGCGGAACAAAAUCUAAAAUCCUCAAAAUUCAAUUUCCAAAUAACUUCCAAAUAUCAAAUGAUCCAAAUGAACAUAACUAACAGUUAAACAAAAUCCAACAUAAAAUCCUAAGUCAAAUCCUAAUGAUGACCAUUCCUCAGCCUAACCAUCACUCCUCACCCGAACUAAAAGUACCUGAAAAAUUUUCAACAAUUGGGGAUGAGCUCACAGCCCAAUAAGGAAUAUUAAUGCAGUUCAUGGAUCAAAUAUUUUCAUUUCAAAUAGGAGAUAUCAUUUUUUUUUCUCAUCAAAUAUCAGAGUUUCAAAAAUACCAAUAUAUUCAAAAUUCAACCAACCAAUUUCAUAUCAAAUUCAAACACUUUCACAUAAGAUUCAAUCAAAUCCAUUCAAUUUUUCAUUACUCUGGUUAUCAAAUAUCAAAUGCCCAAUUAGGUGGGACUUUUCAAAUGGGUGGCUAGCCUCAGAUUGUUCCUGGUGGACGGAACCAAACACUACUAGUACUAGUAACCUCUAACCAAACCCCUAGAGGCUGGGGUCCAAAUCAAUUACAUUCCCACCAUGAAAUGUAAAGGUCAACUAUUAUAUCCCGUUGAUAGGGCCGAAUAGUCAACUAUUAUUUCCCGUUGACAAAGGCCAAAUAAACCAGAGUGAUGUUCUUGUUCAAGUAUUCAAAUUUACACAACAUAAUAUCUCCAUAUUUUGUGUCAUAAAUAAAACAAAAUAUUUCAACAUAAUAUUUAGUGCAAAACAGUUUGAUCCAUGCAUGGUAACAAAAUAUCAUUUUCUUUUCCACAAUUCAAAAUAACAUAUAAAAUAAUUUAAUUUUAUAAAUAUUGCAUUAACUUCCCUUACCUCAAAAGAAGUCCUUGAAAGCUUGGGAGAAGAAUAAUUCUGAAAAAAAUAUAAUCUACUCUUCACCUAAUAUAACAUAAGAGAAACAAUUAUUACUAUUUAUUUAUAAUUUAACUAAUCUAUUCCUUAUUUAAAUAAACUAAUAAAUUCCUAAUUUAUUUCUAAUAACACAUUACUAAUUUAAUUAAAUUACAAUUUUAUUUCAUUAUAAAAUUCUAUAUAUAUAUAUAUAUAUAUAUAUAUAUAUAUAUAUAUAUAUAUAUAUAUAUAUAUAUAUAUAUAUAUUGCUAAAUCUCUCAUUCUAUUUAUUACAAAAAUACCAUUAUUACUAUUAUCUUAUUUAUUAAUCUAAAACUAAAUAUCAUUAUUUUAUUAAUUAUCUAAUUUGAGGCUAAAUCAUUAUUACAAAAAAAUAUAUUAUUAUAUAUUUUGUUAAAUCUCUUACUUGUCUGGGUACACACCAACAAGUAAAACAAAGCAAAUUUAUUUUUAUUUUUUUUUAUUUUUUUUUCCAUUGCCAUCAUCAUAAUAAUGAAUCAUUAUAUAUAUAUAUAUAUAUAUAUAAUAUAAGUCUCCUUCCAUCCGGGCACACGCCCAAAUAUAUUUUUUUUUAUUUUCCUUCCUUCUAAUGCUGUGAACACGCGUUCUCCCUUUUUUUUUUUUUUUUUUUUUUAACAUUUUCUAAUCCCUUCAACCACAAAUAAUAAUAUAUUUAUUUACUGUUUUUUUUUAUAUAUAAAAUUAACCCUAGCCUAAAAUCGAAACCUUCCAAGGAAUUUUUUUUUUUUUUCAUCUAAUCAAACUUAAGAUCUCCCAAAUUCCAACAAUAAAAUCAAAAUCUUAAUUUUUCACUAUUUGAUAUCAAAACGAAUAAAAAAUAAUCUAACCCUAAUCUAGAUUUGGGGUUUUCCAAAAAAAUAUAUCUAAUGUGUUUGAAAUUAAUCAAUGAAUCUAAAAUAUUAAAUUAGGGGUUAGAAUCUUACCUAUAGAGAUCUGUUCUUCAACCCUGAAAUCUGACUCCAACCUUACGUUCUCUAGAAUUCUGCGAACAGGAACUCUAUUCAGAAAAGAAGGGAAAUAAUAAAAUUUCUAAUUUAUACCUAGGGUAUUUAUUCGUAAAAUUACACUUUUACCCCUCUUCCACUUUAUUAAAUUAAUUAAUUAACUAAUUAAAUUAUUAAUAACAAUUUCCUAAAUUACCCUUAAAAGAAAAUGCCUGGGCGUUACAUCCUCCCCUCCUUAACAAAAGUUUAGUCCUCUAAACUUGACAUACUUGAGUCUUGGAAUAAUUGAGGAUGCUUUUCUCUCAUCUCUUCUUCUAACUCCCAAGUGGCCUCUCGGAUACUAUGAUUGCUCCAUUGGACCUUUACCAACUUGACAACAGCAUGUCGUAGUACCUUAUCCAUCACAUCCACAAUUUGAACGGGUACCUCUUCAUAGGUCAAGUCCUCAAAAAUUUGAAUAGGCUCCAACUCCACAACAUGAGAAGGAUCAUAAAUAUACUUCCUUAGAGUCGAAACAUGAAACACAUUAUGAACCUUAGACAGGCUUGGGGGCAAGGCUACUUUAUAUGCCAAAGUGCCUACUCUUUCUAAUAUUUCAAACGGACCCACAAAACGAGGACUAAGUUUUCCUUUUCUCCCAAAUCUCAUCACAGACUUCAUAGGUGAAACUUUCAAGAACACAUGAUCACCCACCUCAAACUCCAAAUCUCGCCUACGAUGAUCAACAUAACUCUUAUGUCUACUUUGAGCUGCUUUUAAUCUUUCUUUAAUCAAAGCAACUUUUUCAACAGUCAACUGCACAAGUUUAGGGCCCAAAAGUUUCCUUUCUCCAACAUCAUUCCAACAGAUAGGAGAUCGACAUUUCCUACCAUACAAUGCCUCAAAAGGUGCCAUCCCAAUGCUAGCUUGAAAACUAUUGUUAUAGGCAAACUCUACUAAAGGUAAAUGAUCAUCCCAAUUACCUUGCAGGUCCAAAAUACAAGCUCUCAACAAGUCUUCCAAAACCUGAAUUACCCUUUCUGAUUGGCCAUCAGUUUGAGGAUGGAAAGCAGUACUAAAACUCAACUUAGUGUCCAAAGCUUUUUGUAGACUAUGCCAGAAUCUAGAAGUGAAACGAGGAUCUCUGUCAGACACUAUAGAAACUGGUACUCCAUGCAUUCUCACAAUCUCCUUCACAUAAAGAGAAGCUAAACGAUCUAAAGAAAAGUUGACUUUCAUAGGCAAAAAGUGAGCAGACUUUGUCAACCGAUCAACAAUCACCCAAAUAGCAUUAUUAUCUCCUAAGAUUCUGGGCAAUCCUAUCACAAAAUCCAUGGUANNNNNNNNNNNNNNNNNNNNNNNNNNNNNNNNNNNNNNNNNNNNNNNNNNNNNNNNNNNNNNNNNNNNNNNNNNNNNNNNNNNNNNNNNNNNNNNNNNNNNNNNNNNNNNNNNNNNNNNNNNNNNNNNNNNNNNNNNNNNNNNNNNNNNNNNNNNNNNNNNNNNNNNNNNNNNNNNNNNNNNNNNNNNNNNNNNNNNNNNNNNNNNNNNNNNNNNNNNNNNNNNNNNNNNNNNNNNNNNNNNNNNNNNNNNNNNNNNNNNNNNNNNNNNNNNNNNNNNNNNNNNNNNNNNNNNNNNNNNNNNNNNNNNNNNNNNNNNNNNNNNNNNNNNNNNNNNNNNNNNNNNNNNNNNNNNNNNNNNNNNNNNNNNNNNNNNNNNNNNNNNNNNNNNNNNNNNNNNNNNNNNNNNNNNNNNNNNNNNNNNNNNNNNNNNNNNNNNNNNNNNNNNNNNNNNNNNNNNNNNNNNNNNNNNNNNNNNNNNNNNNNNNNNNNNNNNNNNNNNNNNNNNNNNNNNNNNNNNNNNNNNNNNNNNNNNNNNNNNNNNNNNNNNNNNNNNNNNNNNNNNNNNNNNNNNNNNNNNNNNNNNNNNNNNNNNNNNNNNNNNNNNNNNNNNNNNNNNNNNNNNNNNNNNNNNNNNNNNNNNNNNNNNNNNNNNNNNNNNNNNNNNNNNNNNNNNNNNNNNNNNNNNNNNNNNNNNNNNNNNNNNNNNNNNNNNNNNNNNNNNNNNNNNNNNNNNNNNNNNNNNNNNNNNNNNNNNNNNNNNNNNNNNNNNNNNNNNNNNNNNNNNNNNNNNNNNNNNNNNNNNNNNNNNNNNNNNNNNNNNNNNNNNNNNNNNNNNNNNNNNNNNNNNNNNNNNNNNNNNNNNNNNNNNNNNNNNNNNNNNNNNNNNNNNNNNNNNNNNNNNNNNNNNNNNNNNNNNNNNNNNNNNNNNNNNNNNNNNNNNNNNNNNNNNNNNNNNNNNNNNNNNNNNNNNNNNNNNNNNNNNNNNNNNNNNNNNNNNNNNNNNNNNNNNNNNNNNNNNNNNNNNNNNNNNNNNNNNNNNNNNNNNNNNNNNNNNNNNNNNNNNNNNNNNNNNNNNNNNNNNNNNNNNNNNNNNNNNNNNNNNNNNNNNNNNNNNNNNNNNNNNNNNNNNNNNNNNNNNNNNNNNNNNNNNNNNNNNNNNNNNNNNNNNNNNNNNNNNNNNNNNNNNNNNNNNNNNNNNNNNNNNNNNNNNNNNNNNNNNNNNNNNNNNNNNNNNNNNNNNNNNNNNNNNNNNNNNNNNNNNNNNNNNNNNNNNNNNNNNNNNNNNNNNNNNNNNNNNNNNNNNNNNNNNNNNNNNNNNNNNNNNNNNNNNNNNNNNNNNNNNNNNNNNNNNNNNNNNNNNNNNNNNNNNNNNNNNNNNNNNNNNNNNNNNNNNNNNNNNNNNNNNNNNNNNNNNNNNNNNNNNNNNNNNNNNNNNNNNNNNNNNNNNNNNNNNNNNNNNNNNNNNNNNNNNNNNNNNNNNNNNNNNNNNNNNNNNNNNNNNNNNNNNNNNNNNNNNNNNNNNNNNNNNNNNNNNNNNNNNNNNNNNNNNNNNNNNNNNNNNNNNNNNNNNNNNNNNNNNNNNNNNNNNNNNNNNNNNNNNNNNNNNNNNNNNNNNNNNNNNNNNNNNNNNNNNNNNNNNNNNNNNNNNNNNNNNNNNNNNNNNNNNNNNNNNNNNNNNNNNNNNNNNNNNNNNNNNNNNNNNNNNNNNNNNNNNNNNNNNNNNNNNNNNNNNNNNNNNNNNNNNNNNNNNNNNNNNNNNNNAGGAAGGGGAUACUUAUUCCUCACUGUCACCUUAUUCAACUCCCUAUAGUCAAUGCAAAGUCUCAUUGAGCCAUCCUGUAUGGGGCCUUAGACAUAGGACCUGUUCCUGGUACCAGAUCGAUAGUGACUCCACCUCUCUCUCUAGUGGCAAGCCAGGCAAAUCCUCUGGAAAGACAUCAGGAUACUCCCUUACUAUGGGUAUGUCUUCCAACUUCAAAUCACUUUCAUUACUCACCACACUAUCCAAAAAUCCUUGGCAACCCUUCUUAAGCAAGCUACUAGCUCGCAAGGCUAAGAUCAUACGUAGUGGUCUGUCCACAUGCUUCCCUUCAAAGCUAAACUUAGGCUGACCAGGAAUACUAAACGUCACCCUUUUCUCAAAACAGUCAACAAAGGCAUGGUAGGAAGCUAACCAAUCCAUCCCCAAAAUCACAUCAAAAUCCUGAAGGUCAAGGAGUACUAAGUCAACUGGCAUUUCCUUAUAACCAAUCAUCACAAUACAAUUUCUAAGCAUUCUACUGGCCACAACAGAAUCUCCCACAGGAGUAGCAACAAUCAAAUCAAAGUCCAUGCUAGCAAUAGGCAAACCCAACAAACCAGCAAAAGAUACUGAAACAAAAGAGUGUGUUGAUCCAGGAUCAAUCAAGACUCUAGCAAAUAAGGUGUGGAUUCGGAGAGUACCUGUCACCACAUCAGAAGUGGCUUGAGCAUCUCGAUGAGUCAUAGCAAACACCCAUCCUUGGGCUUUGGGUUUAUGUUUAUCCUCCUUAUUUUCCUCUUUAGGCUUCCCAGUGAUGAACUUCCUAUUCUCUGGACAAUCUCUGAUCAAAUGUCCUUGCUUCCCACAACCAAAGCAAGCUCCAGUCUCUCUAUAGCAUGACCUAUCCCCAUGUUUUUUACCACAAGUAGGACAAGCCCCAUCUAAAUUCUGCGCUGCCUUCCCUUUAUUCUGAUUUCUUCCUGAUGUAGACCUUCGCUGUGCUUGAUUACCAUGAGCACCAUCACUCCUAUUUCGCUUUCUUUGCUGUUCCCUAUACUGAUGAAGCUCUUCAUUAUCUUUCUCUGCUAUAAGGGCUUUGUCAACAACCUCUGAAUAGACACCAAGUUUCAGAAUAGAUAUCUUGUUCUUCAAAUAAGGCUUCAAUCCAUCCUAAAACUUUAAUGCCUUUUCCUCCUCUGUAGCAAUCAAUUGUGGGGAAAAACGUGAUAACUCUGUAAAUUUGGCCUCAUACUGAGUCACAGUCAUAUCCCCCUGUUCCAAACGAAUAAACUCUCCCACCUCCUGCUGCCUAACACUGUUAGGGAAAUACUUCUUGUAGAAAGCCUCCCUAAAUUGUCUCCAUGUUAUGGGUCCCUGAUCCUCCAAAAGUCUCCUAGUCAUACGCCACCAAUGAUCUGCCUCUUUAUCUAACAUAAAAGCUGCAUAAGAGGCUUUUUGCUCCUCAGAGCAAUCUUUGACACCAAAGAAUUUCUCCAUCUUAAGGAUCCAAGCCUCUGCCUCUGUGGGAUCUGUAGCACCAGAAAAGUAAGGAGGACCCAAUUUCUUGAAGUCAUCAAAAGAGCUACCCCUAGAAGAUGAAGACUGUCCCUGAACAUUAGUCCCAACAGUUCGAGCUUGGCGUUCAACUAAACCAGCUAGUGUCCCAAGAUACCUAUUGAUCCCUUCUGCACUCACGGGAGGCAAACCCUCAACUGGAGGUACAUCAUCAUUAGCCUGACUGUUUUGUGAAGAAGCUGCUCUUCUUGGUGGCAUGAUGUCCUAAAAUAAUAAGGCAUAACUAAAUUAGUCACUAAAGAACCAAUUAGAAAAUUUUCCAAAUAAAGAAAGAAUCGGAAUUUAUACUAAAUGAAACUAAAACUUAAACAAAUGCGUCACUCAUCUAUCCCCAAUCUAAACCAAUUCAAAUUCCCAUCAAGAUCAAAACCUAAUGCUCUGAUACCACUCUGUCACGCCCCAAGACCCACUCCAAGGGCGUGACGGUCAUUUCACACCUCAAACUCGAAGGCUUAAAAUAUAAUCUGACCCAAACAAUCAUAUUGUAACUGGAUGUUACCAAUUACCAAAUACCUGUUCAGAGUAGCGGAACAAAAUCUAAAAUCCUCAAAAUUCAAUUUCCAAAUAACUUCCAAAUAUCAAAUGAUCCAAAUAAACAUAACUAACAGUUAAACAAAAUCCAACAUAAAAUCCUAAGUCAAAUCCUAAUGAUGACCAUUCCUCAGCCUAACCAUCACUCCUCACCCGAACUAAGAGUACCUGAAAAAUUUUCAACAAUUGGGGAUGAGCUCACAGCCCAAUAAGGAAUAUUAAUGCAGUUCAUGGAUCAAAUAAUUUCAUUUCAAAUAGGAGAUAUCAUUUUUUUUUUCUCAUCAAAUAUCAGAGUUUCAAAAAUACCAAUAUAUUCAAAAUUCAACCAACCAAUUUCAUAUCAAAUUCAAACACUUUCACAUAAGAUUCAAUCAAAUCCAUUCAAUUUUUCAUUACUCUGGUUAUCAAAUAUCAAAUGCCCAGUUAGGUGGGACUUUUCAAAUGGGUGGCUAGCCUCAGAUUGUUCCUGGUGGACGGAACCAAACACUACUAGUACUAGUAACCUCUAACCAAACCCCUAGAGGCUGGGGUCCAAAUCAAUUACAUUCCCACCAUGAAAUGUAAAGGUCAACUAUUAUAUCCCGUUAACAGGGCCGAAUAGUCAACUAUUAUUUCCCUUUGACAAGGGCCAAAUAAACCAGAGUGAUGUUCUUGUUCAAGUAUUCAAAUUUACACAACAUAAUAUCUCCAUAUUUUGUGUCAUAAAUAAAACAAAAUAUUUCAACAUAAUAUUUAGUGCAAAACAGUUUGAUCCAUGCAUGGUAACAAAAUAUCAUUUUCUUUUCCACAAUUCAAAAUAACAUAUAAAAUAAUUUAAUUUUAUAAAUAUUGCAUUAACUUCCCUUACCUCAAAAGAAGUCCUUGAAAGCUUGGGAGAAGAAUAAUUCUGAAAAAAAUAUAAUCUACUCUUCACCUAAUAUAACAUAAGAGAAACAAUUAUUACUAUUUAUUUAUAAUUUAACUAAUCUAUUCCUUAUUUAAAUAAACUAAUAAAUUCCUAAUUUAUUUCUAAUAACACAUUACUAAUUUAAUUAAAUUACAAUUUUAUUUCAUUAUAAAAUUCUAUAUAUAUAUAUAUAUAUAUAUUACUAAAUCUCUCAUUCUAUUUAUUACAAAAAUACCAUUAUUACUAUUAUCUUAUUUAUUAAUCUAAAACUAAAUAUCAUUAUUUUAUUAAUUAUCUAAUUUGAGGCUAAAUCAUUAUUACAAAAAAAUAUAUUAUUAUAUAUUUUGUUAAAUCUCUUACUUGUCUGGGGUACACACCAACAAGUAAAACAAAGCAAAUUUAUUUUUAUUUUUUUUUAUUUUUUUUCCAUUGCCAUCAUCGUAAUAAUAAUGAAUCAUUAUAUAUAUAUAUAUAUAUAUAUAUAUAUAUAUAUAUAUAUAUAAUAUAAGUCUCCUUCCAUCCGGGCACACGCCCAAAUAUUUUUUUUUUAUUUUCCUUCCUUCUAAUGCUGUGCACACGCGUUCUCCCUUUUUUUUUUUUUUUUUUUAACAUUUUCUAAUCCCUUCAACCACAAAUAAUAAUAUAUUUAUUUACUGUUUUUUUUUAUAUAUAAAAUUAACCCUAGCCUAAAAUCGAAACCUUCCAAGGAAUUUUUUUUUUUCAUCUAAUCAAACUUAAGAUCUCCCAAAUUCCAACAAUAAAAUCAAAAUCUUAAUUUUUCACUAUUUGAUAUCAAAACGAAUAAAAAAUAAUCUAACCCUAAUCUAGAUUUGGGGUUUUCCAAAAAAAUAUAUCUAAUGUGUUUGAAAUUAAUCAAUGAAUCUAAAAUAUUAAACUAGGGGUUAGAAUCUUACCUAUAGAGAUCUGUUCUUCAACCCUGAAAUCUGACUCCAACCUUACGUUCUCUAGAAUUCUGCAAACAGGAACUCUAUUCAGAAAAGAAGGGAAAUAAUAAAAUUUCUAAUUUAUACCUAGGGUAUUUAUUCGUAAAAUUACACUUUUACCCCUCUUCCACUUUAUUAAAUUAAUUAAUUAACUAAUUAAAUUAUUAAUAACAAUUUCCUAAAUUACCCUUAAAAUAAAAUGUCUGGGCGUUACAAGUGGUUUGCCACCCUCAGUCUUAUCCUCCGUUUAUCGUCCUGCCAACCCUAAUGAAAAGUCCUUUGAUAAAAUAAAACCUUGUUUGGAAGAGCUUUUCAAUCCAUAAAAGUUGUAAUUUAUAAAUUAGAAGUGUCUUUAUAAGAGUAGUUAGAUAAAAUUUCGGAAAAAUUAUGUUUUGGAUCUAGUUGGGUCCAAAAAUUAAAAUUUGGUCUAUAUAAGUUCACUAUUUAAGCCUAAAACCUAGAGAAAAUGUAAAAAUUGAGAAGAAUGAUAUAAAAUUUUUAUAUUUUCAAAUCUUUAUUGACUAUGAAAAAAAAAAGUAGAAAAACAUUAAUUUAAAUUUUAUUUCUUUUGUAAACCUCAAUAAAAUUUAAUAUAAUUUAGUGAUUUGGAAAAACAAAAAUACAUCAUUUAAAAAAAUAAAUAAAUUAUUAUUAUUUAAAAAACAAACAUCUUGAAAAAUAUGUAUUUUUAAAAUUGUGUAUAUAAAAAUAACUGAAAAUAUAUCAAUUUUUUUUAAAUGAUGUAUUUUUAAAGUAUAUUUUUUUUAUAAAAAUUAUUUUUUAAAAAAUAAUAAAUUUUUAGAAUAAUUAUUAAAAAAAAUUAAGAUAAAAAAGUUUCUAAAACAUUAUGGUAAAAAAUAGUUUUUCAGGGUAUAUUGGUAUCUUCAUAUUUUAUAUCAUUUCCAUCAAUUAUGUAACUUUUAUGAGUUAAAUCUUAAUUUUUAAACCUAAUUGGAUCCAAAAGACAAAUUAUUCCUAAAAUUUUCAUAUCCCAUUCAAAAUAAGAAAAUUCAUUUUUUUUUAAUAGAAGAAAUGGAAUUUUAUUUAAUUAAUUUUUUUAAAUAUCACAAAUUAUUUGAGCGUAUUCUAUAUUUUAUAGUUAAAAUUUUAAAAAUAAAUAACAAAUAUAUUUAUUUAUGGUAAAACCAAACCGUUAGUAUGGAAUUUGGUUAAAACGUGUUACUUUAUUUUAUUUUAUUUUAUAUCAAACAAAUUAUAUAUAAUUAAUUGAUAUAAUAUUAUUUUUCUUUAUAAAGAGAUGGGUGAAACAAAUAAAAUAGUGUGAAAGUUAGAAGAUACGGAAAGGCAAAGUGGUUUGGUCCAUCUCGUUCCACUAGCGGGGAGAUACGAAAAGUGGAAAGGUCCAAAACAAAAAAAUGAAGACUAGAUUUCAAUCAUGCAUGUCUUCUUUCAAUCAUUCAACCUUUUUCCUUGAAAUGCCAACCACUUUCCAAGGAAUGAAAAAGGCAAAUUACAUUGUUUUACCAAAAUUAACUUUUAUUUUUUAAAAUAAAAAUAAUUAUAAUUUCUAUCCCAUACUGGUUCCCUGAAUUAGGUCGGUUUGAUCAUUAAUAUCAAGUCUAAUUCAAAUUAAAAAAUCAACUCAUUGCAGUGGGUCGAUGUUUAAUAUAAGUCCAAUUUAAUUCAAUAUCAAUUUCGAGGUAUCCAAUCUAAGAGCAACUCAAUUUUAUUUUUUUAAACUUGGUUGAAUUUUGGUUAAUUAGAUUUGACUCAAAUUGUAUGAUUCAAAAUUCUCUUAUAAUAUUUUUUAAAAUAUAUUUAUAUCAAAAUUUAAAUAAUAAAUAAGUUAAUACUUUAGGAUAAUAAAAAAAAGUAAAAAUAAAUUUAUGUAACUUUCUAAUAUAUUGAAAAAAAAUAUAAUUAUAAUUUAAUAUUGAAAAAAAAAAUAAGUAUUUUUUUAAAUUGUUAAAUGGUAGUUUUUUCUUUCAUUCUUUCAUUCGUUCAUGUACAGAGUAUAUAUAGAGGGUAAUCACCAUUCUAAGAAUGGGAAAUAAUGAUACAAGAAAAGAAUGAUAUAAAGAAAUAACAACUAAUAUCCUAAUAUCUCAAUAUUCUUAAUAUCUCAACUUUCCCAAUAUCUAAACAUUCCUAAUAUCUCAACACUCUCCCUCAAGUUGGUGCAUAGAUAUCACACAUGCCCAACUUGUCUAAAAAUUUUGAGAACACUUGACUUGAGACAGCUUUGGUGAGGAUAUCGGCCAAUUGAUCUUCUAAUCGAAUCUUAGGCAAUUCCAAAAUCUUAUCAUCCAACUUUUCCUUAAUGAAGAAUCUAUCCACCUCGACAUGUUUUGUACGAUCAUGUUGUACUGGAUUAUGAGCAAUGUCACAUGCGACUUUAUUGUCAUAAAACAAUCGGAUUGGUUGCCUAAAUAGGUAACUUAAAUCCUGUAAGAGGAGUCUUAACCAUAAUGCCUCACAAAGUCCUAGAUUUGAUUCGUGCCCAAUUGGUGUCUCAGUUGAUUCGUGUCCAGCUGGUGCUCCUUGAUUGAGAGAGUAAUCAACAAAAUUUAUAACCUAUUACACCAUGAACUAGGGUAGCAAAGACAAAGCUACUAUAGCAUAGUGGCUCUAGGAUCGUUCACUAGGAUGGGUUUUCACUUCACAAUUGAUAUUAAUUCAAAGAUGAAUUGGUGCCUUUUCAUUUCAAGGUUAGCUUUAAAAGAAAACAUAAACUUGAGUUGGAAAAGGUUUGGUUUUAAACUAACCACAAAUAGUAACUGAUUUUACUUACAAAGAAAAGUGUUUCUUGGAGUUCAAAUCACUAGGCUCAGGUUCCUCAUACAAAAAGAGAGUUCCGGUCACUUGUUUCUUUUCCUCGCAUUAGAGAAUUAACAUAUAGUUAAUUCUCUAACCGGUGUUGUACAGAUGCUUCCCAUUAAUGGGUUCAAAUAGUAAAUCCCUCUCACUGAUGCACCUUGCAAUGGCUCAUACCUCUCACCUAGCACUUGCCAUUCAAGGUGAUCUUUAACCUUGGAUUACCCGUCAAAAGCUCGCAAGAGAUAACUAAUGGAUGUCUCCUUGGAGUCCAAAAGCUUACCAAGUGUUGGCUAUUCUAGAAAAUCCUACCUUCAAACCACCUCCCAAAGGCUCGCAAGAGAUAAACUAGUGAAUCUCCAUGGAUGGAGAUCACUUGCCUUACCAAGUGUUGGCCUAGGUGAUUUAAAGGCGUUUUAAGUUAACUAAAAAGAUAAAAAUCAUUAACGAGUCACACUUUCUUUUCAUUAAAAACUAAAACAACAAAACUUCCAAAUUAUGCAUGUGGAAACUUACACGGCUUUCCUCACUCCAAGAGACGAAAAGCCUAGCCUCUCAUCCUCUGAGGAAAAAUCCUCAAAGUUUGUUUGGCUAGCAAGAAAACGAAAAUGAAAGAGAAGGAAAAACACAGAGCAAGGCUCUGUAUAUUCUAUAUAUUUAUAUAUCUAUAUAUAUCGUCAGAUUACAUGAUGCCCUGAGAACAAGCUCCCGAGAGCUAUAUAUAAAGAAAAUUACAAAACAAAAUAUCUGUGGUUAUUCACCCCUUUUCCAAACUUAAUAACUAAGGAAUCCUAUAAUUGGUGGGUUACAAGGAGAAAAUGGGGAUUUAGACAUAAAAAAUCUGAAGCAAAAUAUCCAAAAGUGUCGAUCGCAACUAUCGGGAAGCUUCAAGAGAACACCCGUGCACUGUGCAAAAUGGCUGCGAAAUUCUCGCAGCAAAAGGCUGAUUUCGCAGCUGUGCAAAAAUCUUCCUUCAGCUUGGAGUGAUCUGCUUGCAAUGGCUGUAACUCCUUCGUUUCAACUCCGAAUUGUACACCGUUUAAAGCAUUGGAUUCUUGACUUCUUGAGCUUUGAAAUGGUAUAUAGCAUGUAGAAAAUGGACUUCGGGAAUUGCUCCAAAAGUGCAAAAGAAGACUACAGCUGCCGUCCUCUAUUUUCUUCACUCUAUUUUUCCUCUCUCCGUUAUUCUUUCCUUGCAUACUUUGAACGACUUUGGCAAAGGGCUAUGGAGCUCCAAAGCUUGGUUCUUCAUGAAUUUGAGCUUUCCAUUGCUUUUCCAUGGAUUCCAAAGAACUCUCCUCAAUCUUGGAUUGCUUUGGUGAUCAAAAAGCUAUCAAAACACCAAAACUUAACACAAUUUGAUUAGAAUUGAUUGCAAGGGUCCUUAACAUGCCAAUUGAGUUAAAAGGUAAUAACUACUACUCAAAAGUGUUUAAAAGAGUUAAUUACAAGCUAUCAAAUAACACUUUUUGAGUAGUAAUCACUCCCCCCAAUCGACAUAUUGCUAGUCCCUUAGCAAUGAAGGAGAGAAAAAUAAAAAUAAACAUUACUAUAAUUUACAACAUCAUGCUGAUCAAAAAACAAUUCUCAAGUGGCAUGAUGAUCUAACUCUCACAUAGAACAUUAAAGAAAUAAAACUCAAACUUCAACAAAAGUUAUCAAAUAACUUGUCUAAUCACAAUUCUUAAAGAGAAGACAUUAUGCAAAUUUAAGCUUUAAAAGAGUUUCCACUCCCAAAGGGUCAAACCUUACUCUUCCACAAAAAUCUAAGUGUUAUUUAUUAGCUUCCGAAUAUAGUAUGUUAAACUAAUCUCUCCCCCAACCUAGUUUUUUUUCAAAGCUUAACAAACUAGUCAACCUCCAAUAGGCUAAGAACGCACCUCUUUUUUCACAAUUUUUUCAUUGUAGGAGUACAAGGCUUAAAGGUAUUUUUUUCUAAAUUGUCCAUGUAACAAGGGUCCAUCGAUGACUCCCAACCAAUUAAGGUUUAGGGCAUUAAGCUUUAAGGAUCUUUCAACCACUAGCUCCUCGGAUUUUACCCCGGACUUUUGAGAAUGAAUUUUAAUACCCAAGCACCUACAGUAUGUUAAACUCCACCUAUCCACCCUUGUAACGAGCAUUGAGGUCGGUGACUCCCAACCAAUUAAAGCUUAGGGCACCAGGUUUUAAAGAUUUUCACCAUAUACCCCUCAGACCUUGCUCGGGUUUCAAGGCAAGCAAACAUUUUUUCUUUCUUUCUUUUUUUUCUUCAAAGACUCAUUGGCCUUUUAUAAGGUGUCCCAACACUAUUAAAUAAGGUCAAAGGUACCAAGUCUAAAAUUUUCCUAAGUCAAGAGGAAAAUAGUUUUUCAUCUUAUACUCGGAACCUAUUGUGCACAGUGUGUGAAUAGCUUAAAGUGGAAGACAUAAGCUUGAAUUCAAUAGAAAUUUCAACAAUUCAUCAACUUUAAUAAACAUAAUACAAACUCUAAGUCAAGUAAAAAGACAAAAAUUCAAUUUCUCCCAUUUCAUUUUUGAGAAUUUUUCCUUAAUAACCAUGGAGAGUAGAGAAAAAAACUUUAAAAAUUUAAAAAUUAAGCGAAAAGCAACUAAAUUACCAAAAUAACUUAGCAUUAUUAACAAUACUUACUUCCUCAACUCUCCCCCCAACCAAGCUGAACAUUGUCCUCAAUGUGACAAAAGCGAUUGAAAAACAGAGAGGAAGUGGUACCUCCUGAGUGACAUGGAGUCUGAGUCGUAUAGGAGAAACCACAUGUUUCAAAGAAAACAUAAGAGUUAGUGAGUAGAGGAAAUAGAAAAAUGCCAAGUUUAAACAAAAAUGAUGUCUAUAUAUGAUGCAUCAUCAGUAAUACAUCCAGUCCCAGAAUAUAAGACAUCAAAACAUGGAAUUAUCUAUACUAAUAUAAUAUGUAAAGACAAAAAGUAAAGAGAUGAUCAAGUAAUGGUAAGGUCCUGUGGAGCUGAUGCAUCUGUGGUGUCCUCUUGAAUGGGUUGGAUCAGGACUUUGGCCUCUGUUCUGGUAGUCUCCUUAGAUGACAUAGUCUCUUCAACUGGAGCUCUCAGCUGGAGUGGGUUUUGAUGGUUUAAGGAGGUCAGUAAUGGAGUGAGAGGCUUAGUGUGUGUGAUCCCAGGGUGCGCGGGACUCUCCUCUUCAGAUGCAUGGUCGCGGGGCUCUGUUGGCAUUUUAGCAACUUCCCUUAGCUUUGUAAGGUGUUUUUGCAAACCUUCCUCCAUUUCGCAAGUCAAUUUCGCAAUUUGAAGGUCAUUUCUAAGCUUGGAGAUCAUUUUGCAGGCAAUGGGCAAUUUCGCAGCCCAUUUCACAGCUUGGAGAUGAUUUCGCAGCCAUUUCAAAGCUUGGAGAUCAUUUCGUUGCAAAGUGGCAUUUUCACAGACCAUUUCUGAAGCUUGGAGCAUUUUCGCAGCGGGGGGUGGAUUUCGCAGAGGAAGGGAAUUCUCGCAGCCCAUUUCGCAGCUUAAAAGUGAUUUCGCAGCUCAAAGGUGAUUUCGCAACCGUAUCGCAGCUUCGAAAUAAGGGGAACUGUGCUGCAAAAUGGCACUCGUGUGCCAAAAGUGGUUUCGCAGCUGCGAAACACCCUUCCAAAUGGCGUCUCGGCGGCGAAAUUCUCGCUCAACUUUGCACACUCGUCUUUAAAUGGCCAUAACUUCUUCAUUUCACCUCCAAAUCGUGUACCGUUUGAAGCGCUAGACUCCUGACUUCCCAAUAUUUGAAACGAGAUAUGGUAUGCCUAAUUUGAGCUCCAGGAAGUGCUUCAAAAAUGUGUCCAACAGUAGCGAAAUGGAGGUGCGACAUUUCCGCUCAUGGUUUGCACAGUCAUCUUCAAAUGGCCAUAACUUUUCCGUUUCAAAUCCAAAUCGAGCACCGUUUAAAGCUAUGGACUCCUGACUUCCCAAGAUUUGAAACGAGAUAUUGUAUGCAUAAUUUGAACUUUGGGAAGUGAUCGAAUUGUGUCCAACAGUUUCCGAAAUGGGUGUACGGCUAUGACAUGUCUGUUCAUGGUGUGCGCGCUGAAGGAUUUUGAGGUGUGGAGGUUUCACAGCCAUUUCACAGCUGCAAAAUGAGUGUACGGGGCUUCCAAAUGGUACUCGUGUGCCAAAAAAUGGUUUCGCAGCUUUUAAAUACCCUGCGAAAUGGAGUUUUGGUUGCAAAAAAAAAAAAAAAAUUUUUUUUUUUUUUUGGAUUUCGCAGCUGCGAAAUGAGGUUCACUGUGCUGCGAAAUGGCACUCGUGUGCCAAAAGUUGGUUUCACAGCUGCGAAACACUCUUCAAAAUGGAGCUUUGGCUACGAAAUGGGGAUUUUUCACGCUUUGGAGCUUCGCAGCCGUUUCGCAGCUGCGAAAUGGGGGCUCCUGUGCUGCGAUGUGGCACUCGUGUGCCAAACUUGGUUUCGCAGAGAGGGGCCUGAGGCUGCGAACUGGUUUUGCAGCAAAGUGCUGAUUUCGCAGAGGCUACGAAAUCUCGCAGACCCCUGUUUUUGCCCUAUUUUUGCCCUAUUUUUGCUUCAUUUUUGCUCCGUUUUUGCUCCAAACAACUUUCCUUCAUUUUUUUUGCAAUUCCUCUUGAUUUUGAUCAUCCAAAAACCUAUAUUACAUCAAAACAAAUUAGAAUUAAAGCAUUGAAAUCAAAAUUAAAACAUUGAAAUCAAAAUUAAAGCAUUGAAAUCAAAAUUAAAACAAGUAAAAAAAACAAAACAAAAAGAUAUGGACUAGCUAGUCUUUAAAAAGACUAAGUCCAUCAAAAAAUUUGAUCCUGAUUUAGCUUGCCCAGAUCCCAUAUGAAGCUUGCAUCCCUCACUUGAGACGUGAUCUGUAUGAUUUUGUCAUACAUAGCUUGGAGAAAAGGUGGAGGCAUGUGUUUCUUCAUCAAUUCUUCCUUGAUGACUAUCCUUUGUGGUUCUCUUUGUUCAUUAACAUCAUAGCCAUCAUUCUCUAUGUUUUUCCCCUUUUUCUUUCCUUUGAUUUCCUCCCUCUUUUCUUUCUCUGUUUCACUCUCUACCUUAUGCUCUAGCUUGCAUGUGGGCAGAUCAACCUCUUUACCACUCCUCAGAGUGAUCACUUCUUUGACUUCCCUCUUUUGUGAAGGUUCUCCCUCCUUAGCCUCCAUUUCAUGGAUACUCAUGGAAUUUUGAUAAGGUUGAGAAGGAGAGUUUUCUUUCUCUUGCACUGUGUUGAGGUUGGCAAACCUUGAGAUUAAAUCUUAGAGAUUAUCUAUCUUCUGAGAUAGAUCAUUUUGCACUUCAUCCAUCAUUUUAAUCAAUGAACUCUCUACACUAUCAAUUCUUUGACUGAGCUGAGCAUUGAUGGAUUUCUGAGCUCCAACAAAGUCCCCCACGAACUUGCUAAGAUUCACCAUAGCUUGUUCAAGGCUUGAGGCUUGCAGAAGUGCUUAAACAUGUUGCUUGUACUGAGACGGCUGUGGUUUCCAAGAGAAAUUUGGAUGGUCCCUCCAAUUGGAAUUGUAGGUGUUGCAAUCACCAAACAUUUCCCUCUCGGCUGGAAUGGUAGGACACUCAUCCACCAAGUGCUCAUAUGAUCGACAAAUGGAACAAGGCAUAGGUAGCAAUGGUGUUUGAGAGAUGGCUUGCACUUCUUGCAUAUUCUUCAUUUCUAGCUCUUCCAAUCUCCUUGCCAUAGCUGCAAUCUUUGCCUUCAUGUCUAUGUCGUCAUUCAAAAUAUACAUCUCACCCUUAGCAUUAGGUUGAGACGUCAUUCUUCCCAUAUUUCUAGCAUUUGGUUCAUCCCAUCCUCUUGAGACUUCAGCCACAUAACUCAUGAAGUUCAUGGCUUCCUCUGCUAUGGUAUUCAAUAUGGCAUGCACAACUAGCAAUUUGUGAAUUAAAAACAGAGAACACAAAAGAAAACAAAAGAAAAACAAUUCAAAGAAAGAAAAUUAAGGUAAACUAAAAACUAAAUAAAAGAUAUACUAAAAUAUGAACAAUAAAGAAAUAAAAAGAGUUAGUUAAAGGAAAAGAAAAGUCAUCAAACUUGUGAUGAAGAUCACAAGUACUCUGAAAAUGUGAUAUCACUAUAAAGUAGCACCAUUUCCCGGCAGCGGCGCCAUUUGAUUCGUGCCUAAUUGAUGUCUCAGCUGAUUCGUGUCCAGCUGGUGCUCCUUGAUUGAGAGAGUAAUCAACAAAAUUUAUAACCUAUUACACCAUGAACUAGGGUAGCAAAGACAAAGCUACUAUAGCAUAGUGGCUCUAGGAUCGUUCACUAGGAUGGGUUUUCACUUCACAAUUGAUAUUAAUUCAAAGAUGAAUUGGUGCCUUUUCAUUUCAAGGUUAGCUUUAAAAGAAAACAUAAACUUGAGUUGGAAAAGGUUUGGUUUUAAACUAACCACAAAUAAUAACUGAUUUUACUUACAAAGAAAAGUGUUUCUUGGAGUUCAGAUCACUAGGCUCAGGUUCCUCAUACAAAAAGGGAGUUCCGGUCACUUGUUUCUUUUCCUCGCAUUAGAGAAUUAACAUAUAGUUAAUUCUCUAACCGGUAUUGUACAGAUGCUUCCCAUUAAUGGGUUCAAACAUUAAAUCUCUCUCACUGAUGCACCUUGCAAUGGCUCAUACCUCUCACCUAGCACUUGCCAUUCAAGGUGAUCUUUAACCUUGGAUUACCCGUCAAAAGCUCGCAAGAGAUAACUAAUGGAUGUCUCCUUGGAGUCCAAAAGCUUACCAAGUGUUGGCUAUUCUAGAAAAUCCUACCUUCAAACCACCUCUCAAAGGCUCGCAAGAGAUAAACUAGUGAAUUUCCAUGGAUGGAGAUCACUUGCCUUACCAAGUGUUGGCCCAGGUGAUUUAAAGGCGUUUUAAGUUAACUAAAAAGAUAAAAACCAUUAACGGGUCACACUUUCUUUUCAUUAAAAACUAAAACAACAAAACUUCCAAAUUAUGCAUGUGGAAACUUACCCGGCUUUCCUUACUCCAAGAGACGAAAAGCCUAGCCUCUCAUCCUCUGAGGAAAAAUCCUCAAAGUUUGUUUGGCUAGCAAGAAAACGAAAAUGAAAGAGAAGGAAAAACACAGAGCAAGGCUCUAUAUAUUCUAUAUAUUUAUAUAUCUAUAUAUAUCGUCAGAUUACAUGAUGCCCAGAGAACAAGCUCCCGAGAGCUAUAUAUAAAGAAAAUUACAAAACAAAAUAUCUGAGGUUAUUCACCCCUUUUCCAAACUUAAUAACUAAGGAAUCCUAUAAUUGGUGGGUUACAAGGAGAAAAUGGGGAUUUAGACAUAAAAAAUCUGAAGCAAAAUAUCCAAAAGUGUCGGUCGCAACUAUCGGGAAGCUUCAGGAGAACACCCGUGCACUGUGCAAAAUGGCUGCGAAAUUCUCGCAGCAAAAGGCUGAUUUCGCAGCUGUGUAAAAAUCUUCCUUCAACUUGGAGUGAUCUGCUUUCAAUGGCUGUAACUCCUUCGUUUCAACUCCGAAUCGUGCACCGUUUAAAGCAUUGGAUUCUUGACUUCUGGAGCUUUGAAAUGGUAUAUAGCAUGUAGAAAAUGGACUUCGAGAAGUGCUCCAAAAGUUCAAAAGAAGACUGCAGCUUCCGUCCUCUGUUUUCUUCACUCUGUUUUUCCUCUCUCCGUUGUUCUUUCCUUGCAUACUUUGAACGACUUUGGCAAAGGGCUAUGGAGCUCCAAAGCUUGGUUCUUCAUGAAUUUGAGCUUUCCAUUGCUUUGCCAUGGAUUCCAAAGAACUCUCCUCAAUCUUGGAUUGCUUUGGUGAUCAAAAAGCUAUCAAAACACCAAAACUUAACACAAUUUGAUUAGAAUUGAUUGCAAGGGUCCUUAACAUGCUCUGGGGGAUUGCUUCAACCCAUAAAAUGACUUCUUCAAUUUGCACAUCUUCUGACAUUACUUUGCUGACACCAUGCAUCCUGUUGGAAGAUCCAUAUAUACUUCUUCAGAUAACUCGCCAUGCAGAAAGGCAUUUUUCAAAUCGAACUGUUGUAAUGGUCAAUCCAGGUUUGCAGCUAAAGACAGUAAUACUCAAACUGUGUUGAUCUUAGCUACAGGUGCAAAUGUCUCUGUGUAGUCAAUUCCAUAAGUUUGAGUGUACCCUUUUGCUACCAGUCUUGCUUUAAAUCAUUUAAUACUACCAUCUGUCUUAUACUUCACAGUAUAGAUCCAAUGACACCCAACUGGCUUCUUUCCUGGUGGACAUUCUACGAGUUCCCAUGUUUCAUUCUUCUACAAUGAUAUCAUCUCUUCAUUCAUGGCUGCUUUCCACCUUGGAUCAGCUAAGGCUUCCUGCACACUGUUAGAAAUAGCUACAGUAGAUAAUUGAUUUUAAAAUGACUUAUUUGAUUCAGAAAAACGAUGGUUAGACACAUAGUUGCUCAUGAGAUAUUUGACUUUGGUAGACAAUUCAGGUUCAUAUGUGGGUUUAGGAAUACCUCUAUUAUGACGGUGUGGUAACCGUUUCAUGAAUGGAUCAAGUUCGAAAUUAAGAACACCAUCAGCAGACGACGAUUGGUUUGGAAUUUCAAUGAAGGCAUCUUCGGACCCAAAUUAUUCAGAUGGUUCAAUUGUAUUGUCUCUCCCAUCUUCUAUCAAUUCUUCAGCUUUUGGGUGGUCAUUACUACUUGGUUCUAGAGUUGUAUCACUCAUAUCUAAUUCACCCGCUUCUUGGUUCACUAGUUCAGAUUGUCCAGAUUCAUCCUCCUUAAGGAUAGGAUAAUUAUAAUCGAGAGUCUGAAUUUCCUUAUGGUACUCCCCCGAAGUUCAGACUUAAAUGAAAAAUACAUUGAAUCUUCAUGAAACACCACAUCCAUUGUAAUAAACAUUCGUCAAGUUGGAGGAUGGUAACAUCGAUAUCCCUUUUUGUGCAAUGCAUAUCCAACAAACACACAUUGCAAUGCACGAGAAGUUAACUUGGUGUGUUGGUGUUUGUGUAGAUGCACAAAUGCCACACAACCAAAAAUACGAGAAUGUAGAUUUGUGACGGUUGGGGCAAUUACCACAUUAGUAAGAGCUUGGAGAGGUGUUUGAAAGUCAAUUGAGCUGGAAGGUACCCGAUUGAUCAAGUAUGCGGCAGAUGUGAUUGCUUCUCCCUAAUAAGAUAUCGAUAUUUUUGCUGCUAUCAAGGAAGCAUGAACAACCUCUAACAAGUGCCGAUUUUUCCAUUCAGCGACUCCAUUUUGUUGGAAGUGUAUUGGAACAAGUAGUCUGAUGAAUGAUGUCAUGUCCGUCCAAAUACUUUUAAAGAUCAUAACUCUAAUAUUCUCCACCAUUAUCGCUACGCAGAACCCGAACCUUUGCAUUGUAUUGAGUUUCAAUCAUUUUAUGAAAAUUUUGAAACAACAAGUUCACUUCAUCUUUGGUCUUCAUCAAGCAUAACUAGGUCAUUCUGGUACAAUCAUCAAUAAAAGUAACAAACCAACGUGAGCCACUCAAAGUUGGGACUUUGGAUGAGCCCCAAACGUCAGAAUGUAUAACCAUAAAAGGAAGCGGACUUUUAUUCAAAAUUAACGGAAACGAAGCACGAUGGGAAACCAGAAAUAUCACUCUUUGCAAACAAACUAGAAAACAAUUUUUUAAAAUAACCAAAGGAAGCAUGUCCCAGACGUCGAUGCCACAACCAAAUUUUAGACUUUUUAUUCUCCCCUCAAAUCCAUCUGUCAUCAAGGCUUGUUGCAACUUAUUUGAAUCCUUUGACUGCAAGUCCAAGUAAUAGAGUUUUCCCCGCUUAAUACCACAACCAAUCGUUUGUCUUGUUUGGAUGUCUUUAAUAACACAAAAUUCAAGCAAAAAAAUGACAAUACAAGAUAAGGCUGCAGUGAUUUGAGAAACUAACAAAAGAUUGUAAUCUAAAGAUGGAACAACUAAAAUAGAAUCCAAAUUCAAAGUAUCAGUAAGAGUUAAGGAUCCUUCCCCAAUGACUGGGGUUGUGUUACCAUUAGCUGUGGAAACAACUUUUUGUGAGGAAGGUCUAAGGGGUGAAACCUGUCUAGAAUCAAAAGUCAUAUGAUCUGUAGCAUCAGAAUCAAUUAUCCAUGCACUAUUAAUAACAGGUGUAGAAGUAUUAAAAAACUUACCACCAUAAUCUGUAGCGGCUACCAAUGCAGAGGCUUUCUCAACAACAUUAGCCUCUGUUUUUAUUUUGACAACAGUUGUAGUCGAGGUUUUCUUGGAAUCCUUCUUCCGUUGAUCACGAUUAUUAUCAUUAAUAACAAAGUGUUGAUAGCUUAAACAUGAUCUAAAGAUCCAUGGUUCAAACUCUUGGUUCCUCAUUGUUUUCCUGGUCAUACCAAGAGUCGUUGCUUUGAAAUUGUGGGAUAUUCAAACUGGUGAGAUCAAUCUUAUUGCAGUGAGUGCAUUUGAAGGUUGACUUAUCAAUAUUAGGGCUUGUCUUAGGAUGGUUGAUUGUUGUCGAACUACUAUAGCGACAAAAUAUCCAGGAUUUCAGUUCUCUGGCUCUGAUACCAUCUUCAAAUUGAUAAAUGGUAGUUUUUCCAUUCAUUCUUUCAUUCGUUCAUGUACAGAGUAUAUAUAGAGGGUAAUCACCAUUAUAAGAAUGAGAAAUAAUGAUACAAGGAAAGAAUGAUAUAAAGAAAUAACAACUAAUAUUCUAAUAUCUCAACUUUCCUAAUAUCUCAAUAUUCCUAAUAUCUCAACUUUCCUAAUAUCUAAACAUUCCUAAUAUCUCAACACUGAAUAACAUAAGGAAAGAAUGAUAUAAGGAAAACAUUCCUAAUAUCUCAACAAUAUUAUUAUACAUGAUGAUAUAAAUUAUAAAUAAUAUUAAAAAAAAAUACUAAAUUGGGUUCAUGUCCUCCCAACCUCUGUCCAAGCCCAAUCCUAAUUAAGUUUAGAUUGAAAAUUUAUCCCUAGCAACCCAACCAGCAUCUCCACAACCCACCCCCACAAAAUCACUACUACGCUAGGUGAAAAAGCCCGUGGCAGUAGAACCUACAGCCUCCCUAAUAGUAAGGAAACGCAAGGUACCCUGAUCCACAACUCCAACAACUAAAUCAAAUCUGAAUAAUUAACUGUUAUUAACCUUCAAACAAUCUCAAUUACACAGGUUUGAUAUUGAAC